CUGGUCGUGUUAAAAAAAGAUACAUGCUGCUGGUCGCACCAGAUCAAAUAUCUCGCAAACUGACGGUUCAAUGUAACAGUAUGAAUGGAAAACUCUGGACUAUACUGGCCACCGUUGUACCCGAAGCACCCAGACAUGGAAAAAAAUCCCCUUUCUCUUACUGCUCUUUGGAUCGAGGUCUGGCCGAGGCAGGGAUGGCGCAAAGCUUCUGGCCGCGGAUCUAGCGCUGCUCACCUUCCCAUGAUGCGGCAUCUCAUCUCUGCUGAACUGGAGAGGCAGAUGUCAGGUCAGAGAGCUGGGUCGUCGCGUUUGACGACCAUCUCCUCCACAGUUUUCCUCGUCGAUCUCGUAUUCUCCAAUCACCCGGGUCUGGCUUUAGCAUGUCUGUUAAUUUUCGCCAUUUUACUUUCAUUUUUAAAUUGCCAAUAAUAUAUUUUUCUUUUUCAUACGGGAUGUGAUAUAUUUCAAUUAUUGGAUCUGCGACACAGGAUAGAGGUCAGCAUGCCUGGUAUGGUCGAUGCGCCACAUCUAUGCAUCGUUCCUACUUCCUCCAUAAUGCCCAAUUCUUCACAGGUUUGUUUCCCCUUCUAAUUUAAUUAAAAAGUAUAUAAUUUUGUAUUUGCUGAAACAACAUAUUAGCAAGUUAUAUAACUCAUAUGUUUAUUGUUUAUUUAAGACAAAGUAAAAACUCUUGCAUGUUUUAACUAAAAUUUGCUUCAUAUGCUUUAAUUAACAUGCACCCAAUUCUCAAUUGGCUUAAUGGGUGUAGGUCAUACUUGUGAUGCCUCUAGGUGAAUCGACACAUAAAUACCUAAUGUCGGUCUUUGCUUCUAGUGGAAAAUUUGGCCUGUAGAGUUAUUUGUACGAAUUAGCACUGUGUGAGUUAUUGUUCCGUGUGCAUUCAUAGGAUCUUUGCUUAUUCUUGCAGCCUCCCUCACAAGGGUAGUAGUCAUGAUUCUCACACUCACUGAUAUACAUCCGUAUGUAGUCCAUAUUGAAAUCUCUAAAAGGACUUGUAUUUAGGAACGGAGCAAGUAUAAUAGAAACAUUCCUGUUCGAAUUAGUAGAUUUCUCAAAUCAAUGAACACAUAGUCCUAAAAAUUACCAAGAAAAUCAAAGUUCACAUUUUGAAGAAAUUGUUAGACAUAUAUAAGUCAAGUAAGAAUGUAAGAUGAUGUUAUAACAUAUAUGACUAAAUUGUGACUACCUGAUCUAUCUAUUUUUUUUGCCUCAUCUAAGGAAGUUCUUGUAACGCCCUUCCGUAAAACAUUUGCUCUUCUAGUGUGCGUUGUAGUACUUCUAUCAAUAUCGAUCAUUUUUGGUAAAGAUUCUUCCGCUGGGUGCCUAUAUAUAUGGAGUGACAUUUAGUCAUAGUUAAUUAGUCAAUAAAUCAGAAUAGCUGGUGUUUCAUACCAGUUAAGAAGUUCCCGAGGUUUGGGUAUAUCGAGAUCGGUAUAUACUCAUGUGGCACUGCUUGACUAUAGGCACAAAUGUAUCAAGUAGAAAUCUGUUAAAUAUUUUAUUUUUGUAAAUAACAUAUCAGGUUUUAAAAUUGUUGAACUUACCAUUGUUGAGGUCACACAGACACUUUGGUUAUCGAUGAAUAUGUAUAACAUAAACCUGCUCAUCCAUAUAGAUCACAUCAAGGCUAAUAAGUUCAUCGAUUGGAGGAUUAUUGUAUCCCAUGUUCCCAUUAGUUUCACUUAAACAUCCCAGUUUUGGUAUCUUGUUGAAGUCUCUUAGUUUCUUGUAUUCCCAUUGCUUCAAAAGGAUUGAAAAUGUACUUGUCAAUUGAUAAUGUUCAUAUGAAGAUUUUUGCUGAAGAAAUUGAGUUCAUAGUAAUAAUACUUACUAACCUUGUUGAUUCAGGUGAGAAGGAAACUUGGAUGGUUGGGUGUGACUUAUGUAGAAAGGAGUUGCAUGCCACUUCAUAAUUUGGGCCGCCUUUGAUAUUGCCUGAGCACCAAGUCUGAAGAUCUCGCAUCAUAGAGAGUUCGCUUCAAUUGUCCUGGUGGUGGGAUCGUCGAGUCUCGGCGUCGUACAGUUGGUUGGCUUCAAUUUUCCUAGUCAUGGUGCUGAGUCGUGAGUUGCUGGGUGUCUUAGAUUUCCAGGCGGAUGGUGGGCGUGUGCUGGGUGCUGGGUGCGGCCAGCUGUGUAUUUUGAUGUAUGAGUUCUGGCUGUGCCCUUAUGGAGUCCUUGUAUGCUUAUUAUUUUUCUUCCAAUUAAAGCCUAUAUGUGACAAUAGGUUGAUGGAUGCGGCCAAUUUUGUAUUUUUAUGGGGACUCUGUCCGUAAGCACUCUUUGUAUGUGUUUACGUGUCCUUGGCUUACCGAGUGUCCGAGUUAUGUAUGUGUCCUUUAGAGUCCCGAUUAGGAAUUGCACGUGACAAUAGUUGGACAUGUAACGCCUUUAUAUAAUAUAUUAGUGGAAGAGAUAAUUAUUUUGUGUUGUGUUUUUUGGCUUCCUUCUACGAUUAUGUUGACGAGCCUUAUGUGUGCGUCUAUGUUGAUGAGCCUUAUGUGUGCGUCUCCAUAUAGACGUGACAGUUCAAUUUGCUGAUCCGUACAUAUUAACUUAUUACGUAAACUCUUUUAAUCUCAGCCAUUGUUUUUAUGAUCAAACGGUGGUAAUAAUAUUAGUCUGUGUGGAUUAACAUGGUGUAUUAUUUGUCUUCUAUUUUAAUUAUAUAAUAGAUUGCACUAAUCAUAAGGAAAGGUCUACCAAGAAUAAUUGGACAUGUAGGAUUGUAAUCUAUAUCAUGGACAAUGAAAUCUACGGGCACAUAAUUACUAUUUACAACAAUAAGAACAUCAUUAAUUCUCCCCGUAGGUUUCUUAAUAGUGGAAUCCGCAAGAUGCAAAUUUAAAGAACAAUUAUCAAAUUCACGAAAACCUAACACAUCACAUAAAGUUUUUGAAAUCGUGAAAACGCUAGAAAAUCACACAAAGCAUGGUGCUUAUAAUCUUUAAUCUUAAUCUUAAUAGUAGGUUCCCACUCAUCAUGAAGUUUUAUAGGGAUAGAAACUUCCAAUUCAAGCUUUUCUUCAAAAGAUUUCAUCAUAGCUUCAAUGAUAUGUUUAGUAAAAGCUUUAUUUUGAUUAUAAGAAUGAGGAGAAUUCAACAUGGAUUGCAACAAGGAAAUACAAUCUAUCAAAGAAAAAUUAUCAUAAUUAAUAUCCUUGAAAUCCAAAAGAGUGGGUUCAUCGCUACCUAAAGUUUUGACCUCUCCAAUCCCACUUUUUAUCAAUUUUUGCAUCAGGAUCUAUAAACUCCAAAUUAUUGCGACGCCUUUUAACUAAAGUUGACUCAUCUCCAGUACCAUCCUUAUCAAGAUUUAUAUUGGAAAACAAAUAUUCAAUAGGAGUCACAUCAAUCACUUUAAGAUCUUCAUCAUUAUUUUCACAAAAACUAGAAGAACACGCUUUUACAAACCAAUCUCGCUUAGCAUGCAUCUUAGCGGUUCUUUCUUUGAACUCAUCAAUGGAAAUUCUCAUAGAUUUUAGAGAUUCAUUAAUAUCAUGCUUGGGUGUAAUAGAUCUAAUUUUCGAAGAAUCAAUCUGAAGAGAAAUUCGAUUAACGUUCCUAGCCAAAUUAUCAAUCUUAAGCAAAUUUUCUUCAACCAAAGCAUUGAAAUUCUUUUGCGAACUCAUAAAUUCUUUAAUACUAUUCUCAAGAUCAGAGGGCGUAUUAUUAUAAUUUUUAUAAGAAUUGUUGUAGGAAUUACCAUAAUUAUUAGAGGAAUUACUAGGGAAUGGCCUGGGAUUAAAAUUACCUCUAUACGCGUUAUUACCAAAAUUGUUCCUACCAACAAAAUUAACAUCCAUAGAUUCAUUAUUAUUCUUAAUCAAAGUGGACAAAGGAAUAUCAUUAGGAUCAAUAGAAGCAAUCUUGCUAGCAAAUAAUUUCAUAAGUUCAUCCAUCUUUCCACUCAAAACAUUAAUCUCUUCAAUCGCAUGCACUUUUUAACUAGUGGAAGAUCUUUCGGUGUGCCAUUGAGAAUAAUUAACCAUAAUAUCAUCUAGGAGCUUAGUAGCUUCUCCUAAAGUAAUUUCCAUAAAAUUACCUCCCGCGGCCAAAUCUAAAAGAUUUCUAGAAGCAAAGUUCAAUCCGGCAAAAACAAUUGUAUAAUCAUCCAUAUAUUUAAACCAUGAGCAGGGCAAUUUCGUAUCAUCAAUUUCAUCCUAUCACAUGAUUGUGCAACAUGUUCAUGAUCAAGUUGCUCAAAAUUCAUAAUAUCGUUUCUAAGGGAGAUGAUUUUAGUGGGAGAAAAAUACUUGGAAAUAAAAGCAUUUUUACACUUAUUCCAUGAAUCAAUACUAUUUUUAAGCAAAGAUGAAAACCAAGUUUUAGCAGGAUCUCGUAGUGAGAAUGGAAAUUGCUUCAAUUUAACAAUAUCAUUAUCCACAUCUUUAUUUUUUUGGAUAUCACACAACUCAACGAAAUUAUUUAGAUUGGAUGCGUCAUCUUCACUAGGAAGGCCGAAAAAUUGAUCUUUAAUAACAAGAUUCAGCAAAGCGGCAUUAAUCUAUACUACUAUAUAGUGUACGAGUUUUUCAAUUUUGAAUCCUAAGCCUAAGAAGCAAUUUUGGCCGUUGAUGACGCCAAUCCUAUGGUCCAAAGUGAAAGGAUUCGCACCUACAGUGCUCACUGCACAAACACACUUCACUCUAGAGAAAUCUCGACACUGCGGAAUUGUUUAUUGUUGGAUGCUUCGACAUUUUCUGUACGUGCAGCAGAAGUUGGCAGCCACUCCAAUGUCCUGUGCUCCCAUCUCCGAUUUUCUCUUUCUUGGCAUCAUAGGAUUUUCUGUGGCUACACACGAUUAGUAGGGGAUGGUGCAACUGUGGCCAGUUAUUGCUUUUCACGUGUGCACAAUGCAUCACAGGAUUGGAUUAUAUGUGUCCAAACUUUGUACCCUAGAAUAUUGUGUUUCUUAGAGAAUAUUAUAACAGAUUUGUUAUACAUUAGCUAAGUCACCUUGUGAUUAGAGUAUAACACGGUACAAAUAUCUGAGACUGAUAAUUUUUUGGCAUGUGCAUUUUCUUCUAAGUUUUGCAACUAUAAAAUACUAUUCCUCCAAGCACAAAUGUAAUUAUAAGAUAAUUCCUAUUUACUGUAUGCAUCAUUAACAAAUUUUUAUUAUGUUUGCACCAGAACCACCCACUGUAGGAGUGAUAAGUGAUAACUACCAUAAUAGCUUUACGUACAAACAAAACACAACGGUUGAUUCGUUAGAAUUUCCAAGAUCCGUGUGUUUGAUUUUCUUCUUUUGGAAAAUUUGUAUCCAUGAAUUGAACAUUUCACGUGAUGUGCACGUACCCGCGUACUAGUUUCAUAAGAUUCCGUGCUAGUGGCGUGAGCAAUCGGAGUACUAAUAAAAUUAGUAUUGGAAAAGUCACACAAUUUGGUAUUCCCUCGAGUCAUCGUGACAAAGCAAGCAGUCCAACACUCAAGCAAACAAAAAGCAAGCGAAAAGAUGAAUGGAAGAAGGGCGAAUAAAAAGGCAAAUCUUUUAAAAAAUCGCUUUAGAAGUGGGGGAGAGGAAAGCGAGAGGCAAAUGGCGAAUAAUAUAAUGCAAGAGAUGAGAGUUUAUGAUGGGUAUUUGGUAGGCUUGAUGUAGAUCUCCCCGGCAAUGGUGCCAGAAAUUCUUCCUGCUACUUCUUGACCUUGCGUUGGUUUUUCCCUUGAAGAGGAAAGGGUGAUGUAGUAUAGUAGAGAUAAGUGUUUCCCUCGGUUAAGAACCAAGGUAUCAAUCCAGUAGGAGAAACACGCAAGUCCCCAAUAGAUGCACCUGCACAAACAAUCAAACACUUGAACCCAACGCGAUAAAGGGGUUGUCAAUCCCUUCACGAUCACUUGCAAAUGUGAGAUCUGAUAGAGAUAGAUAGAACUAAACAAAAGAUAAAAUAUUUUUGGGUUUUUUGGUUUAUAGAUCUGAACAUAAAUUAUUGCAAGUAGUAGAUCAGAAACUAAUAUGAUAGAAAAUACUCGGGGGGCAUAGGUUUCACUAGAGGCUUCUCUCAUGAAGGCAAAUAAUACGGUGGGUGAACAAAUUACUGUCGAGCAAUUGAUAGAAAAGCGCAAAGUUAUGACGAUAUCCAAGGCAAUGAUUAUGCAAUAUAGGAAUCACGUUCGUGUCAAGUAGACCGACUCCUGCCUGCAUCUACUACUAUUACUCCACACAUUGACCGCUAUCCAGCAUGCAUCUAGAGUAUUAAGUUCACAAAGAACGGAGUAACGCCUUAAGUAAUAUGACAUGAUGUAGAGGAAUAAAAUAGAGCGAUAUGAUGAAAACACCAUCUUUUUAUCCUCAAUGGCAACAAUUAAAUAUGUGUCUCGCUACCCCUACUUUGUGACUAGGUGAAAUCACGCAAGAUUGAACCCAAAGUUAAGCACCUCUCCCAUUGCAAGAAAAACCAAUCUAGUUGGCCAAACCAAACCGAUGGUUUGAAGAUAAAUACAAAGAUAUCAAAUUAUGCAUAUAAGAAUUCUGAGAAAAUUCAAAUAAUAUUCAUAGAUAAGUUGAUCAUAAAUCCACAAUUCAUCGGGUCUCGACAAACACACUGCAAAAGAAGAUUACAUUGGAUAAAUCUCCAAGAACAUCGAGGAGAACAUGGUAUUGAGAAUCAAAGAGAGAGAAGAAGUCAUCUAGCUACUAGCUAUGGACCCGUAGGUCUGUGGUAAACUACACAUGCUUCAUCGGAAGGGCAAUAGAGUUGAUGUAGAUGCCCUCCGUGAUCGAAUCCCCCUCCAGCAGGAUGCCAGAAAAGUCCCCAAGAUGGGAUCUCAUGAGAACAGAAGGUUGCAGCAGUGGAAAAGUGUUUUCAUGGACGCCUUUGGUGGUUCUGGAAUAUAUGUGAAUAUAUAAGAGGAAGAGCUAGGUGAGGGGAGUCCAGAGGGGCCCACAAGGUAGCCCCCCCCCCUAGGGCGCACCCUCCACCCUUGCCACCGCCUCGUGCCUCUUAUGUCUUGGACUCCAAGUCUCGUGGGUGUCUUCUAGUCCAAGAACAACCAUCGUGAAGUUUUGUUUCGUUUGGACUCCGUUUAGUAUUCCUUUUCUGCAAAUCUCAAAAACAAGGAAAAAAUAGAAACCGGCACUCGGCUCUAGGUUAAUAGGUUAGUCCAAAAUAAUAAUAUAAAAUAGCAUAUUAAUGCAUAUAAAACAUCCAAAAUAGAUAAUAUAAUAGCGUGGAACAAUCAAAAAUUAUAGAUGCAUUGGAGACAUAUUAGACCCCCUUUAACAAUACGGUGGUUCCUAUGACUCAAGAAAGGAAAAUGAAACUACGAAAAAAAAGUCUUCACGCUUCAUAAUCCUCACAUCAAUAUCAAUAUUUUCAAGGUCACACCAAUUUCCUCAUUUUCAAAGUCUUCAACAAAACCAAAGUCUUCAAUUGAAGACAUUCAUUUUUAGGGGUCAACUUUCUUUGAGUAUAUCAAACUCCUCAGAGACUUUUAGACAUGUGUACACUCACAAACAUAUUAGUCCCUUAACCAAUAAGUCUUCAAUACACCAAAAUCACUAAGUGGCAUCUCCCACCUUUUUUGGUGAUUGAUGACAAAUAGGUUAAGUUUUCAACGGGGAUAAACAGAUGAAGUGUAAAUAUUGAUAUUGGGGAAUUUGAUCACAAGAUAUAGAACUCCCCCUGAAGAUGUGCAUAUUUGAGGAAUUUAAUUUGGAUUGCAAAUGCACAUUGUAGAAUAAAAUUAUGGAUAUCUCCCCCUAUAUCUUGUAAUUCAUACAAGCAUUUAACAUAUGAUAUGAAGAAUUUGAAAUGCAUGAUGAAAUAUGGUAUCUGGCAAAAUUCAGCAUGCCAUUAAGGUACUUAAGGAAAUAAGCAUGCAGAAAGUAGCUCAAAAGUAUCAGACCACCAUCAUACUUAAGUUUACAACUCAUCAAACAAACACUUCAGAAGAGCGAGUGUUGUAACUUAAAGAAAAAACAUCCCAUACAUAGAGACUCGCUUGAAGACUAACUCAAAUUUGCCCCCCUUUGUCAUCAAAUGACCAAAAGGGAUGAAAAAUGACGACUAACGCCCCUGAAGAAUAUCGUCAUGAGGUUGAUGGAGGAGCACGCGCGUUGUUGGGGUCGCUUGUUGAAUUAGGGCCUAUCGCAGUGUCUUCGAGAUCCUCAGCUUCAUCCGUAUCAUGCGAUGAAGAAAAUGAACUUGUGACCAACUAAGGAACUUUGACCUUCUUGAAUUUCUUCGAGGGGGGAUUUGACCACUCAAAGUUCUGUUGAAAGUCCAUCUACUUGAGGUCUUCAUCACUGUAAAGAUGAGAAAGUAUGGCCCAAGUGCGAUUAAGAUUUCAUGCGGAUAGUAAUGAUUCUUCUUCAUAGUGUUCUAAGUAAUAGUCAUGUUAUGGAGAAUCGAGCCAAAUAGACGCUUGACCCACUUGUGAUUGUGAUCGACCUUAUGGAGAAGACUUAGAAGAAGCUCGCGAUCAGUCAUCACUCGUGGGGUAGUGGCUUGAGGAUUUUGCACAUUGGCUUUAGAAGCAAAAUCUUGAGUUACAGAGUCAUCAUUGGUGGAAUAAGAUGCAGUCGUAUGAAACUGACCAUCCAAUGGACGAGUGCCUUCAUCAAUAACAACAUCCCUAGAGUAAUGCUUGUAAUUAGUGGCAUUGCAUCCAUGCAUCAUGUCUAAAUUCUAAAAGUUGAACUGAGGAAAUUUGAAGGCCUCAAAAUUUUAAUUAGAAAGAACAGCAAGAACCCUAAGAAUUUCAUUCAAUGAAACCAAAAUGUUCAUCUUUGAUGUUUGAUAUUUUUGGCAAGGGUUUUGAUCCAAGCUAGAUAUAAUGAACACUUUUGAAGAUUAUUUUGGGCUUUGGAUUGAAAUCAAUACUAUAUUUGAAUUUGAAUUUGUAUUCUUCAUAUAUGGAAUAUAAAUUCAAAUGUCUCUAAUAUAUUUUGUGAGCUUGUGGAGAAGUCCUUUGAGGAACAUAAAAUAUGGGCAUGAGUUUGAAUCCUAUUUUCAAUUUAAACAAUGGCAAAUAAAUAAAUAAAAGAAAACCAAACAGAAAAGUAAAACAAAGCAAAAACUACCUGGACGUACCUGGCUGGCCAGCCCACCUGGCGGCGCAGCCAACCGACCCAGCCCACCAGGGGCAGAGGCGUCUUCCACCUCGCGUCAGUCGGGUGCAAAGCGCAUGCCCGAUGCGCGCGCGCCUGUAGCUCGCCGCCUCCUUCUUUCCGACGAGCCCCUGGACGCAUGGCCGACUUCCUCGGUGUCAUCCGAAUUCCUCUGGCUCGCUCACUCUUCCCCCUACUCUCUCCCUCGCCGUUCCCCACAUCACCAAACACGCCCGCCUCCGCCGACGAGCACCACAACGACCAUCGCCUCUCCCUCGUCCCCUCGAGCAGUCCAGAAGCUCCGCAUCAUCGCCAUCGUCCUCUCCGCCGAGCCACGCGGCACCGGACACCUCGAACACCGCAGUCAUCUUCUACCUCCGGCAACUGAGAUCGUCGGCGCCGUUUGUCGUCCAUGGUGCCUCUCGGAGCCCGCUGAGUCCUCCAUUGGAAUCCCACUGAGCUCCUCCGUCUUCCCCUUCACUCCCCGUGCUCUAAUUUGUGCGCUAGCCACCACCCCGCGAGCACCUGAAGCCGUUGUCCGCCAUUGCUGACGAGCUCGACGCUCUCGAGCUUCUCUGCUCGAACGCGUUGCACCACCGUGCUCCUCGUGACACGAGGAGGCCGUAGAGCCUACGCACACAAGCAGUCGAGCACCCUAGCUUCGUUUUCGUUGAUGUUGUAGCUCUGGCCACCACAUUCAUCGUUGUUGCCAUCACUAGGGGGCCUCCCCUCGCCUAGCCCGCCUGCUCUAUUGGACGCGACGCACUCCCAGCGUCCCAUAGCCACAAGCCGCACUCAAAACCGAGCCCCGUAGCGGUUUCCUGACGAGCUUCCGCCACGGAUUUGGUCGUCGUCGGCCGAGCUCCGGCGAGUGCCGAUGUGGCACUAUCAUUAGGCGCUAACCCCACUAUUUAAACCCCCCUCACACACAACCACUGACAGCGGGCCCUACCACUGGUCAAACCCCAGUCAGCGCUAGGUUUGACUAGGAUUAGUCCUUGUGUCACUGAUGUGUGGACCCCACAUGUUAGGUUUGACCUAGGCAGCCCCGUUGACUUGCUGAUGUCCGCAUGGGUCAUGCUGACACGGUAUAUAUUUUCUGGGAUUUAAAAUAAAUCAAAAAUGCUUCAUUUAUUUUGAAAAAAUAUCCAAAACUUCAAAAAUUCAUAUAAAUUCAACCGUAACUCCAAAUGAAAUAAUUUAUAUAUGAAAAUUAUUAGAAAAAUCUAAUCUAUCCAUUCGUACUAGUUUCAUGCAUGACAAAGAACUUAACCUUACUAUAUAGAUAAAAAUAAGUUAAUGCACUUUGUAAAUUCAUAACUUGAGUUUGAUUUUGAACCUUUGGUUCAAAUUAACUCAAACCCUUCCAUUGGUAGCUACAUUAGCUCAAAUCACAGCAUAUUGACAUGUCACAUUCAUACAUCAUAUUGUUGCGUUGCAUUGAUUCUGCUCCUUCUUUGUUUGCUUGUGUUGCUCCCUCUCAGUGGACGUUGUUCCGACGUCGUGAUCAUUGACACCGAUGAAGAACUAUACUAUCUUCAGAGUGCCAGGCAAGCAAGCCCCCUUUGAGCAUUCCGAUACAAUCCCACUCUCUCACUCCUGCUCUCAUUUACUUCAUUAGGACAAUAACGAUUCAACUGUUACAUGCUGCGGUAGUUGAACCCUUUCCUCUGCAUGACCUGUCUUUGCCAUAGUAAAUAGUUGAAAAGACCACUAGCAUGAGUAGGAGUUGUUUGAGCCAUGAUGUGCCUACUCAUUCAUGCUUGCUUGUUAUGCCUGCUAUGCUUAGAGUUGUGUCAGGUAUGAUUCAUUUGGGAUGGAUUGGGAUGGAGAUGAACAUGUCCUACUGAUGAGAGAUAAGUGUGUGAACAUGAUUCGGUAAAGGUAGCGAUGAGAGGCCAGGUAGGAGUACAAGGUGGGUUGUCUCAUUGAAGCCAUCCUCAGGAACUAAGUUCCGUGUUUGUGAUCAAAGAACAGCUACUACCACACGUUGGGCCCUGAAAUAUGACCCCGCUCGACUUAUUAACCCCCUUGUCCUCCGUCCAGGAGUUGCAAGUAGUCUGUAGUGUUUAUAGUAUGCUGGAGGUUGUGCGUAGCGCUGACCCUAGGGGUGGGCUAUGAUGUGGUAGGCAAGUGGCACGGUAUACCGAGGCACCCAUUUGGUGGGCUCGAGAACCCUGCACACAUCGUUUAGGGCCGUAGUGGAAAACCUCGGCUGGUCUUCCUUGCGGAUGGAACUCAAAUAGGCAAUAAACCUGGACUAGAAACUUGUGUGGUUAGUCAGGUCGUGGUUUACACCCACGUUGGCUUUCGCUUGAAGUCUGCCGAGCACAUGUCAUGUGCAAACGCUAAGUGGUGGAAACAUGUGUGAAGAAGUACCCCCCUACAGGGUUAUAUAUGAUCUAUUCGAAUAGCUGCGUCCGUGGAUGUGGACUACUUGGAAUGCUUACAUUGUUCAUAGAUAACUGGAAGUGCAUACUCUAAAAUGCGAAAGAUAAGCGUGAGUGCUAUCAAUGGCCUUAUCAUAGGGAGAUGGGAGCGGGUCCAUAGUGAUGUAUUGAUUUGGUGAAUAUGUGGACUCGUGUGCGCCACCUCAAAGAAAGUACUCGUAGUACACGAUAGCCACUGAGUCAAAGAUGGCUUGUUGCAGUUAAACUCCACCACCCCUUUGUUGAUACUGAUGCAUAUGUAGAUAGUUCUGAUGUAAGUCUUGCUGGGUACAUUUGUACUCAUGUUUGCUUAAUUUAUGUUUUUGCAGAGAGACCUCAUUCUCGCUAGUAGUUUCACGUGGGCUUAUGAGCUUGGGAAUCCCAGAGAGAGGUCUGGUUCCUUUAGAGGGUCUUGUAGAUAGAUAGGCUUCUUAGCCUUCUUUAUUUUAGAUGUCUAUACUCAGACAUGUUUAUGCAUCUGCUUGGCUUGUAUGACUUUGUGUGAAGGGUCAUGAGACUCGCUGCUUGUAAUAAAUGCUAUGAUGGCUCUUGUGGGCCUUUAUCUAUAUGAGUUGUUGAGUUAUGUUGUGAUGCCUUGUUGUACAACGCAUACUUGCAUGUUAUGCAUACGUGUAACAUGUAUUGCUAUGUGUGGGAUCCAACAACCUAGUCGUUUAUUCUUGGUAGUCUCUCUUACGGGGAAAUGUCUCCUAGUGCUUCCACUGAGCCAUGGUAGCUUGCUACUGCUCCAGAACACAUGGGAUGAUCGGCAUGUGUCCUUCUUUGCUCUUUUGUUCGUCCCUCCGGGGAAAUGUCAUGCGUUGCUUACCAGAGUCCUGAUUGCUUGCUAUAGGCUAGAUUCACUCGCUGCUGACCGACACAUGCAUUCCUGGGUCAUGUAUGCCUAUCCCAGUAAGUGAGUGCCACCUUGGGUUUAUGACUAGUCAUGUCGACCCGCGGUAUUUGUCAUAUGGAUGGUACCGACACUAUCAUAUACGUGAGCCAAAAGGCGCAAACGGUCCCGAGCCAGGUAAGGUAGCACCCGUGGGGAUACCGUGUGUGAGGCCGCAAAGUGAUACGAUGUGUUACAUGCUAGAUCGGUGUGACUUAGGGUCAGGGUCCUGACAAUAGGGCUUCAAUUGAAAUGGCGAAAGUGCAACAUUUGCCAAAGUCCUCAUGAAGAAAUCAUGAUAGUUAAUGGGAAUACCAUGUAUAAUGUUGAAUAGCAAAUUUUGAAUGAUGCCAACAACUUCUUCUUCUUCAGAGUUGUGGCCUUUGAUCGGACUGAGGGAAUCCUUCACUAGGAAGGUGGUUCUAGGAGCUUGGCCUGGCUGCAAAGGCUUCAUCAACACUUGCAUGAGGUGAUUUUCAAGUUCAGGUUCUUCAUACAUGAGCCUUGCGCCUUUUGUAGGAGGACUGACUGGGAUGGCAUGAAGUAAUUCAGAGGCUGGAGCUUUAUAAUGAGUGUUUUCAGUCAUCCAGUCUAGAACCCAUGAAUUGAUAUCAACCACAUUGCCAGUGAGAUGCAGGGUUGCAUAGAACUGAAGAAUUAGCUCUUCCUUCCAGUCACAGAUAUCAACACAGAAAUUGAGGAGUCCAUCUUCGUGAAGAACAUUGAGAACUGGUUGAAAGCAUGGAAUGGACUCCAUAUCCACAUGAGGAAUUUGGCGGUGCUGGAAGACUUUGUCCUUAUCAAACAGAAGAUAUGCAUAGAAAUUCAUCUGGCUCGCAGUCCCAAACCUCUUGCACCUUAGUCUUGCUGAGUCAUAUGGAUUUGCAUCAGUGGAGAAAUGAUGCUCAGUGAAGAAAUCAUCAUUCUUGAAUUUUGGCCUCUUUGCAUGAGGAUUUUGAGGCUUGGGCUAAAGAUUUGUAGCAGAAGGCCUCACAAUCUCUUGAGACACAACUUCAGGUAAUUCAAAUUGAGGAAUUUCAGUGGCAGUUUCAUUGGCAGUAGUUUGGUUCUCCAUUUCUUUAGUUAUUACAGCUAGAACAUCUUCAGGUAUGGAUUGGAGUGAAGCUUGACGUCCUGCAGAUCGAGAUGGACCUAGAGGGGGCUCGUGAAUAGCUACAAUUACAAAAUUUAAUUAUUACUUAGCAAUUUUAGGCAAUAAUGUGGAAUAUGAAAGUGAGCCUAACAAUUGCAAUUGUGAUGCUAAGAGCUAAGCAAGAUAAACAAGUAACACAAGUAAGCAAGCGCAAUAUGAUAUAAGUAAGAGCUAAUAGACAAGUAACCACAAGUAGAGAGUUAGGGUUAGGAAUAACCGCAACUCUGGGAGAUGAGGAUGUAUGCCGAUGUUCACUUCCUUGGAGGGAAGCUACGUCACCGUUAGAGAGGUGGAUGUUACCACGAAGGCACACCAACGCCACGAAGGCUCACCCUAUUCUCCCUUUGAGACAACAGCACGGAGGCGUUUCUCAACCACUAGUGGUAGACCUUGGGAUGGUCUCCAAACCCUCACAAACUUUUCUGGGGGUAAUCACAAUGGUGAAUUCCUCUCCGAAAGAUUCCUACCACCUAGGAGUCUCCAACCUCCAAGAGUAACAAGAACGAUGGGAAAAGCUCAAGACUUGCUCAAAUCACGAAUUCCUUUGGUGCAAAGAAGGGGAAGGAGUGGAUCUAUCACUUGAUAAGACAACUUGUCUCAAAUGCUGUCAAAUCCGUUAGGGAUCUAAGAUUUGGUGUGGAGGUAGUGAGAGAGAGAGUGUGUGAAAAGUGUUCUAGGGUUUUGCUCAAAGUGAAUGGUCAACCCUCUCCCGUGGGGAAGAAAGGCUAUAUAUAGUGUGAGAACAAAUAUGGCCGUUGUAGUGCAAGUGAAAGGGCAGGCCGGACAUCCGGGCUAGGGGCCGGACAUCUAGCCUAGCAAGCCACUCGAAGAACAAGGUAGAAACAGGGCAGAAAACAGAGGGGCCGGACAUCUGGGGGCCAAGCUCGGACAUCCGGCAAGUCAGGAAACCCCGGACAUCCGGCACAUGGCCGGACAUCUGGCAAGUUUACCAAAUCAGAAAUGCCCUCUGGAUAGCACAUGCCGGACGUCCGGCAGGCAAGCCCAGAAAUCCUAAGUGCACUGGGAUCCCGGACAUUCGGCAUAGAGGGCCGAACAUCCGGCAAGCCGCACAGCACAAAAGUGCUCUCUGGAUAGCUAGGCCCGGAUAUCCGGUGACCAGGCCGGAUAUCUGGCGUGAGGCCCGGACAUCCGGCUUGAAGCCCGGACAUCUGGCAGCCCAGAGACAAAAGCAUGAAGAUGGAGCAUGUGCAUAUAUGGAAAGGAGGUUUGUGGCAAGAUCAAGCCUUUAACUAACCCUAUCGAUCCCCUCUUAAUAGUGUGGGAUCCUAUACUCAAGAAAACAAAUAUGUAGUCAAUUUUUAUGCUUCAUCCUUGAGUAAAAUCACUUCAUAUGCUCUUGAUCCACACACUUCGAUGAACCUGGGGCUAACACAUGAUAUUUACUUGACAACCAUUGUUAGACCCCUACAUGUAUAUUUUCAUCAACAUCAAAACAUGAUGUAAGGGCAUGAUUGCUCUUUCCAUCCCCCCCCCCCCUUUUGUUUGUUGAUGACAAUCUUACAUGUAGUAUCAUAGGUGCAAUAAAUAAUCUUAGUAUUGACAAACAUGAGAGAAAAAGUACAAAAUAUGUUGAUGUUUCUAUUUGCUUUUAGCUCCCCCUCAUUGUGUGCAUGAGAUGAAUAUGUUAGGAUGUACAACACAAUCUUCGUAUGGUAGCAUAUGUAGCUCAAAGAGAUAUAAAUGUGAGAGACAUGCACAUAUGAGACCACCAUAACACAUGGACUAAAAACAUUUCAUAGCCACAAGAUAAUAUCAUGUCUCAAACGAUCAAGUACCAUAGGUAGCAACAUAAUAACAUAGUCGCACAUGAUCAAGUACCAUAGGUAGAAUAAUACUCCCUCCGUUCCUAAAUACUUGUCUUUCUAGGCAUUUCAACAAGUGACUACAUACGGAGCAAAAUGAGUGAAUCUACACUCUAAAAUAUGUCUACAUACAUCCGUAUGUAGUAGUCAUUUGAAAUGUCUAGAAAGACAAAUAUUUAGGAACAAAGGGAGUAGUAGCUAACACAAAUAGCAAACACAUCAUAGCAUGACCAUACUAAGAUACUACUUCUCCCCCUUUGACAGCAACAAGUAAAAAGGGGCGAAGAACUAAACAGACACAGUCACUCCUGGCAGAUGUCUCAGCAACAAAGAACUCGGAGUACUCGUCAUGAGAUGGGAAACCGAAGGUGGAAGUGGACGGAGCCGCAGGAAGAGGAUCAUCAUCACUCAUGGGACUCCCAUGGUCACGGAGGCGCUGCUUGAGUUGAUUCUUCAAAAUGAUGAGGUGCUUCUGCACAUCAUGAUUUUGCUCACAGUUGAACGUGAUUGCCUUUAUAAUAGCAGACUGAGCGUUUCCCAAGAAUGAGGCAAGACGGCCACGAGGAUCUAUCAAGGAAGAAGGCAUGGAAGAACUAGUGGGUUGAGACCCACCAGUAGUCUUCCUAGGUGGUCGAGGUGCAGUAGCCGGUCCAGGAGCAGCCAUGCACAUGUGGACGGGUGGCUUCCAAAUGGAAUGCCCAAUGGUCUUAGCAACCUAAAACGGAGCAGUGUGAUCAAUGAUGGCCGGAAUGAAUGGAGCAUGUAGGAAUUGACAUGUCUGAAUGAAGCUGGAGAGAUGAAUCUCAUGCCAAAUAUAGUGAGUGGUGUCAAGAGGCUCAGUAGGUGCAUCAUGCAUACGUACCAAUAGAUCAAUACAGUAGUUGUGAGCCCUUGAGUGAUCUCCCUUCUUUGGAUAGAGAGUGUGAAGCACACACUAACAGAGAAUGUAGUAGGGAGACCGAAAAAUAGAUGACUCAUUGGGUGGAUAUGCACGUUCCUCUUCAGUGAGAUGAGAGGGGGCUUAAGAAGAGCCAUGCACGCAUCAAUCCCUUUGGGCUUAUAGCAAGGAUCCAUACUAUGAAUGUGAUGACCAACACCGGAGAAGCCCAAAAUCUGAACAAAGCGGUCACAGGUGAUGCUUAGCACAGUGUCAUCAGUCAUCCAUGUGAGAGUGUGGUCUGGCCCAAAGAAGCAGGUGGCAUAGAACUGAAGGAUGGCAGCUUCAUUCCAAUCACACUUGUAGGUCAUGGCUUGACCUAGAGUCAUAGCAUCAAUGAUCUUGACGGUGUUGUCAGGAAACAUGGUAGGAUGAUCACGCAAGAACUGAAGAUCCAGGUAUUUGUGAGGGGCAAACCCACGGCCAUGGACAAAACUUGAGUACAGAUCUUUCUGCAUGCGAGUACGGAACCGAGGAUCCUCGACAUCAACCACCAUCUCAUAUUGGUUGGUAUCCCGUCGGAACUCAAGGUAUGGACCAGCCUCCGCGGUGGUGAAGUCGUGUAGAAGGCGGUCGCCGCUGUCGGGAAGCUCCAUGGAGAUGCGACGACCAUGGACCAUGGGCAUGGCAGUACCACGGACUGGAGGCACCGGUGCCCUUUGAGUGCCUGGUUUUGACUGGCCAACAGAGUGUCUUGGAUCAAACUCAUCCUCUUCCUCCCCAACAUAGUCCUCAUCAUCCGAAUCCAAGGCCGACGGACUUGUGGAUGGAGCCCGCUUCUUCUUAUUGGUGGUGGUCUUCUUCUUCUUAGGCCGAGCAUGCUCAUUAGAGUUGGUUGAGCCUUGCCGGCGAUCGACUAAAAUGGAUAAUGAUAGGUCCCGAUGAGAUGGAGCCAACAAGUAUGAACAAAGGGUAAAACAAAUUAAACAGUGGGAGGAACAUUUUUUGAUCAUGACCGUAGAACAAGUCCAGUGAUAAGUCAAAAAAAUUAGACAUGCCCAUGAUUAAGUUCAUUAGCCGAGUACAUAGAGAGAUUUUUAGGCUUAGGCAAGAGACACCAAAAAUCUAGAGAGAGAUAUGUGCCAAGAUAUACAUGAGAGAUAAUGAAGCCCUAAGAUGAUUUGGUCACAACAAGAGUAGAAUGCAAGAGAGAUAGCAUCCAUACCCCGGGAAGAAGGCACGGGGUGCACGGGGCCGCAGUUCUUGGUACGCGCCAUGAGGAACUCCGUGGGUGGAUCCCACAAUACAGCGGUCCCUCCCAAGAGAUUCUCACCACAACCCAAGGAAUGGAUUGGAUAGAGCUGUAGAUCGGGAGGAGGAGAAUUCGUGGGCAGGAGAUCGGGACCGGAGGAUGGAGGAGAAGGCCGGAGCAGUGCCGGAGCACAGCCAGGCGGCGGCGGCUGUUUGAGGAGAUGAGGAGAGCAACGGGGAGAGAAUGGGGAAACUGCCCCGAAAUCUCGAGCCCCGCCCCUGUUAUGUGUGGCUGCGGGCGACAGACCGGAUAUCCGGGGUCCUGGCCCAGAUAUCCGGUGUGUGGAGGUCAAAGAGCAGUAAAAACUAGGACAACGGGCCGGACAUCUGGGGACAAGCUCGGAUAUCCGGCGUGGAUUCAGGGCCCGGAUGUCCGGCUGAGGAGCUGGAUGUCAGGGCAGUGGACAGAAAAACCAGGCAAAGGAAAAUAUUUGUAAGGGGCCAACAAAUAUAAUUGAUAUAGACUCCGCUAAGGAGUUUUUAGAGAUUUAGGGGGUGAAAACCUGAGUAUUCUGAUACGUCCAUUUUGUAUCAUGCUUUUAUAUCAAUAUUUAUUGCAUUAUGGGCUGUUAUUACACAUUAUGUCACAAUACUUAUGCCUAUUCUCUCUUAUUUUACAAGGUUUACAUAAAGAGGGAGAAUGCCAGCAAGUGGGAUUCUGGCUGGAAAAGGAGCAAAUAUUAGAGACCUAUUCUGCACAACUCCAAAAGUCCUGAAACUUCAUGGAUGAUGUUUUCCAAAUAUAUAAACAAACAUUGAGCUCAAGAACUUUACCAAGGGGGCCACACCCUGUCCACGAGGGUGGGGGCGCGCCCUACCCCCCUGGGUGCGCCCCCCUACCUCGUGGGCCCCCUGGUGGCCCUCCGGUGACCAUUUUCUGCUAUAUGGGCUCUUUCGAUGGGAAAAAAAUCAUAAGCCAUCUUCUCGGACGAAACUCCGCUGCCACGAGGUGGAACCUUGGCGGAACCAAUCUAGGGUUCUGGCGGGGCUGUUCUGCCGGGGAAACUUCCCUCCCGGAGGGGGAAAUCAUCACCAUCGUCAUCACCAAUGCUCCUCUUAUCGGGAGAGGGCAAUCUCCACCAACAUCUUCAUCAGCACCAUCUCAUCUCCAAACUCUAGUUCAUCUCUUGUAUCCAAUUCUUGUCUCCAAGUUCGGGAUUAGUGCUAGUAGGUUGCUAGUAGUGUUAAUUACUCCUUGUAGUUGAUGCUAUUUGGCUUAAUUGGUGGAAGAUCAUAUGUUUAGAUCCUAUAUGCACAUUAAUACCCCUCUAAUUAUGAACAUGUUUAUGAUUUGUGAGUAGUUACUUUUGUUCUUGAGGACAUGGGAGAAGUCUUGCUAUUAGUAGUCAUGUGAAUUUGGUAUUCGUUCGAUAUUUUGAUGAGAUGUAUGUUGUCUCUCCUCUAGUGGUGUUAUGUGAACGUCGACUACAUGACACUUCACCAUUGUUUGGGCUUAGAGGAAGGCAUUGGGAAGUAAUAAGUAGAUGAUGGGUUGCUAGAGUGACAGAAGCUUAAACCCUAGUUUAUGUGUUGCUUUAUAAGGGGCUGAUUUGGAUCCAUAUGUUUCAUGCUAUGGUUAGGUUUACCUUAAUACUUUUGUUGUAUUUGCGUAUGCUUGCAAUAGAGGUUAAUCAUAAGUGGGAUGUAUGUCCAAGUAAGGGCAGCACCCAAGCACCGGUCCACCCACAUACCAAAUUAUCAAAGUACCGAACGUGAAUCAUAUGAGCAUGAUGAAAACUAGCUUGACGAUAUUCCCAUGUGUCCUCGGGAGCGCUUUACAUCAUAUAAGAGUUUGUCCAGGCUUGUCCUUUGCUACAAAAAGGAUUGGGCCACCUUCCUGCACUUUAUUUACUUUUGUUACUUGUUGCUCGUUACAAAUUAUCCUAUCACAAAACUAUCUGUUACCACUUAUUUCAGUACUUGCAGAGAAUACCUUGCUGGAAACCGCUUAUCAUUUCCUUCUGCUCCUCGUUGGGUUCGACACUCUUACUUAUCAAAAGUACUACUAUAAAUCCCCUAUACUUGUGGGUCAUCAAGACUCUUUUCUGGCGCCGUUGCCGGGGAGUGAAGCGCCUUUGGUAGGUGGAAUUUGGUAAGGAAAAAUUUAUAUAGUGUGCUGAAAUUUACGGUCACUUGUUACUAUGGAAAGUAAACCUCUGAGGGUCUUGUUCGGGGUAUCUUCACCCCGACGAGUAGAGCAAAGAGUUGCUCCUCAACCUACUGAACCUACUGAAAAUGAAAAUGCUUGCUUCGAAAUUCCUUUGGGUGUGGUAGAAAAACUUCUAGCUAAUCCUUUUUUGGGAGAUGGAAUAAAACAUCCUGAUGAGCAUCUAAUAUAUGUGGAUGAAGUUUGUGGAUUAUUUAAGCUUGCAGGUGUACCCGGAGAUGUUGUUAAGAAGAAGGUCUUCCCUUUAUCUUUGAGGGGAGAUGCGUUGACAUGGUACAUGCUAUGUGAUGAUAUGGAGUCUUGGAAUUACAAACGAUUGAAAUUGGAAUUUCAUCAAAAGUUUUAUCCUAUGCAUCUUGUUCAUCAUGAUUGCAAUUAUAUAUAUAAUUUUUGGCCUCGCGAAGGAGAAAGCAUCGCUCAAGCUUGGGGGAGUCUUAAAUCAAUGUUAUAUUCAUGCCCCAAUCAUGAGCUCUCAAGAGAAAUGAUUAUUCAAAAAUUUUAUGCUCGGCUUUCUGAUAACAAUCACACCAUGCUUGAUACUUCUUGUGCUGGCUCUUUUAUGAUGAAGACUAUUGAAUUCAAAUGGGAUUUAUUGGAAAUAAUUAAACGCAACUCCGAAUAUUGGGACCUCGACAAUGCUAAGGAGUCAGGUAUGACACCUAGUUUUGAUUGUGUUAAAUCUUUUAUGGAUACCGAUAUUUUUCGUAAAUUUAGCACUAAAUAUGGACUUGACUCUGAGAUAGUAGCUUCUUUCUGUGAAUCUUUUGCUGCUUAUGUUGAUCUCCCCAAGGAAAAGUGGUUUAAAUAUCAUCCUCCCAUAGAAGUAAAAGUAGUUGUACCUAUUAAAGUUGAAGAAAAGACUAUCACUUAUAAUGAUCCUAUUGUUCCUACUUCUUAUGUUGAGAAACCACCUUUCCCUGUUAGGAUAAAGGACCAUGCUAUGGCUUCAACUGUGGUUUGUAAAAGAAAUAUUAAAACAUAUACACCUCCUGAGAAAGUUAAAGUUGAACCUAGUAUUACUAUUGUUAAAGAUCUCUUGUCUGAUAAUAUAGAUGGGCAUGUUAUUUAUUUCUGUGAUGAAACUGCUAGAAUUGCUAAACCCCGUGAUAUAGAUAAACCUAGGCCUAUUGUAGGUAUGCCUAUUAUUUCUGUUAAAAUAGGCGAUCAUUGUUAUCAUGGCUUAUGUGAUAUGGGUGCUAGUUCUAGUGCAAUACCUAUUGACUUAUACAAAUAAAUUAUGCAUGACAUUGCACCUGUUGAGUUAGAAGAUAUUGAUGUCACAAUUAAACUUGCUAAUAGAGAUACUAUUUCACCAGUGGGAAUUGUUAGAGAUGUUGAAGUCUUGUGUGGGAAAACUAAAUAUCCUGCUGAUUUUCUUGUUCUUGGUUCCCCACAAGAUAGCUUCUGUCCCAUUAUAUUUGGUAGACCCUUCUUAAAUACUGUUAAUGAUACCAUAGAUUGCAAAAGGGAUGUUGUUACUGUCAGUUUAGAUGAUAUGACUCAUGAAUUUAAUUUUUCUAAAUUUAGUAGACAACACCGUGAAGAAGAAUUACCUAGUAAAUAUGAAAUUAUUGGUCUUGCUUCUAUUGCCAUACCUCCUAGUGAUCCUUUUGAACAAUAUUUGCUAGACCAUGAAAAUGAUAUGUUUAUGAAAGAAAGAAGGGAAUUAGAUGAAGUAUUCUUUAAACAGGAACCUAUUCUGAAACACAAUUUACCUAUUGAAAUCCUAGGGGAUCCUCCUCCACCCAAGGGUGAUCCCGUGUUUGAGCUUAAACUGUUAUCGGAUACUCUUAAAUAUGCUUAUCUUGAUGAGAAAAAGAUAUAUCUUGUUAUUAUUAGUGCUAACCUUUCAGAACAUGAAGAAGAGAGAUUAUUGAAAAUUCUGAAGAAGCACUAUGCUGCUAUUGGGUAUACUCUUGAUGAUCUUAAGGGCAUUAGUCCCACUCUAUGCCAACAUAAAAUUAAUUUGGAAGAAGAUGCUAAACCAAUUCGUGAUCAUCAACGCCGACUGAAUCCUAAAAUGAAAGAAGUGGUAAGAAAGGAGAUACUAAAGCUCCUUGAGGCAGGUAUAAUUUACCCCGUUGCUAAUAGUCAGUGGGUAAGUCCUGUCCAUUGUGUCCCUAAGAAGGGAGGUAUUACUGUUGUUCCUAAUGAUAAAGAUGAAUUGAUUCCUCAAAGAAUUAUUACUGGUUAUAGGAUGGUAAUUGAUUUCCGCAAAUUAAAUAAGGCUACUAAAAAGGAUCAUUACCCCUUACCUUUUAUCAAUCAAAUGCUAGAAAGAUUAUCCAAACAUACACAUUUUGCUUUCUAGAUGGUUAUUCUGGUUUCUCUCAAAUACAUGUGCCAGCCAAAGAUCAACCAAAGACUACUUUUACAUGCCCUUUUGGUACUUUUUCUUAUAGACGUAUGCCUUUUGGUUUAUGUAAUGCACCUGCUACCUUUCAAAGAUGCAUGAUGGUUAUAUUCUCAGACUUCUGUGAAAAGAUUUGUGAGGUUUUCAUGGAUGACUUUUCCGUCUAUGGAUCUUCUUUUGAUGAUUGCUUGAGCAACCUUGAUCGAGUUUUGUAGAGAUAUGAAGAAACUAAUCUUGUCCUGAAUUGGGAAAAGUGCCACUUUAUGGUUAAUGAAGGUAUUGUCUUGGGGCAUAAAGUUUCUGAAAGAGGUAUUGAAGUUGAUAAAGCCAAGGUUGAUACUAUUGAAAAGAUGCCAUGUCCCAAGGACAUCAAAGGUAUAAGAAGUUUCCUUGGUCAUGCCAGUUUUUAUAGGAGGUUCAAUAAGGACUUCUCAAAAAUCUCUCGGCCUCUGACUAAUUUAUUACAAAAAGAUAUAUCAUUUGUCUUUGAUGAUGAUUAUGUAGAAGCAUUUGAAAUAAUUAAGAAAGCAUUAAUCUCUGCACCUAUUGUUCAGCCACCUGAUUGGAAUUUACCCUUUGAAAUUAUGUGAGAUGCUAGUGAUUAUGCCGUAGGUGCUGUUCUAGGACAAAGAGUUGAUAAGAAACUAAAUGUUAUUCAAUAUGCUAGUAAAACUCUAGACAAUGCUCAAAGAAAUUAUGCUACUAUUGAAAAACAAUUCUUAGCAGUUGUAUUUGCUUGUGAUAAGUUUAGACCUUAUAUUGUUGAUUCUAAAGUAACUAUUCACACUGAUCAUGCUGCUAUUAAAUAUCGUAUGGAAAAGAAAGAUGCUAAACCUAGACUUAUUAGAUGGGUUCUCUUGCUUCAAGAAUUUGAUUUACAUAUUGUUGAUAGAAAAGGAGCCGAGAACCCCGUUGCAGACAACUUGUCUAGGUUAGAAAAUGUGCUUGAUGACCCACUACCUAUUGAUGAUAGCUUUCCUGAUGAGCAACUAAAUGUCAUAAAUGCUUCUCAUACUGCUCCAUGGUAUGCUGAUUAUGCUAAUUACAUUGUUGCUAAGUUUAUACUACCUAGUUUCACAUACCAGCAAAAGAAAAAGUUCUUCUAUGAUUUGAGGCAUUACUUUUGGGAUGACCCACAUCUUUAUAAAGAAGGAGUAGUAUUAGACGUUGUGUACCUGAGCAUGAACAGGAAUAGAUCAUACGCAAGUGUCACUUCGAAGCUUAUGGAGAGCACCAUGCUGGAGAUAGAACUGCAUAUAAGGUACUACAAUCUGGUUUUUAUUGGCCUACUCUCUUCAAGGAUGCAUGUAAGUUUGUCUUAUCUUGUGAUGAAUGUCAAAGAAUUGGUAAUAUUAGUAGACGUCAAGAAAUGCCUAUGCAUUAUUCACUUGUUAUUGAACCAUUUGAUGUUUGGGGCUUUGAAUAUAUGGGACCUUUUCCUUCCUCUAAUGGUUAUACAUAUAUUUUAGUUGCUGUUGAUUACGUUACUAAGUGGGUAGAAGCUAUUCCAACUAGUAGUGCUGAUCAUAACACUUUUAUUAAAAUGCUUAAAGAAGUUAUCUUUCCAAGGUUUGGAGUCCUUAGAUAUUUAAUGACUGAUGGUGGUUCACAUUUUAUUCAUGAUGCUUUCCGUAAAAUGCUUGCUAAAUAUGAUGUUAAUCGAUCAUAGAAUUGCAUCCCCUUGUCACCCUCAGUCUAGUGGGCAAGUAGAAUUGAGUAAUAGAGAACUUAAAUUAAUUUUGCAAAAGACUGUUAAUAUGUCUAGAAAGAAUUGGUCCAAGAAACUUGAUGAUGCAUUAUGGGCCUAUAGAACUGCAUAUAAAAAUCCUAUGGGUAUGUCUCCGUAUAAAAUGGCCUAUGGAAAAGCAUGUCACUUACCUCUUGAACUAGAACACAAGGCUUAUUGGGCUAUUAAGGAACUUAAUUAUGAUUUUAAACUUGCCGGUGAGAAGAGGUUAUUUGAUAUUAGCUCACUUGAUGAAUGGAGAACCCAAGCCUACGAAAAUGCCAAGUUGUUUAAAGAGAAAGUCAAAAGGUGGCAUGAUAAAAGAAUACAAAAGCGUGAGUUUAAUGUAGGUGAUUAUGUAUUGCUACACAACUCUCGUUUAAGAUUUUUUGCAGGAAAACUUCUCUCUAAAUGGGAAGGUCCCUACGUUAUCGAGGAGGUCUACCGUUCUGGUGCCAUAAAAAUCAACAACUUCAAAGGCACAAAUCCGAAGGUGGUAAAUGGUCAAAGAAUCAAACAUUAUAUCUCAGGUAAUCCCAUAAAUGUUGAAACCAAUGUUAUUGAAACUGUAACCCCGGAGGAAUACAUAAGGGACACUUUCCGGAAUGUUUCAGACUCCGAAAAGGAAUAGGUAUGUGGUACGGUAAGUAAACAGACUCCAAAAUAGUUUUUAAGGCAAUAUUUCUCUGUUUUGGAAUAUUUAGAAAAAUAGAAAAAUAAGCAGCAGUCCAGAAAGGACACGAGGGCUCCACGAGGGUGGAGGGCGCGCCCUACCCCCGUGGGCGCACCCCCUGCCUCGUGGGCACCUCGUGUGCUCUCCGGACUCCGUUUUCUUACCGGAAAUGUAUUUUGGUUGGUAAAAAUUCAUUAUAUAACCUCCUGGGGGUUUUGACUCCCGUAUCACGCAAAAAUCUCUUGUCUUUGUUUCGAGCUAUUUUUCUGACAGAUCUAAAUUAUCAUGACAUCUCCAAGUGCACCCAAGGACAAGUUCUUCGAGAUGGUCAUCAACCCUUACCUCGCGGAGGUGUAGCGACACCCUCAAACCAUUGAGAUGCGUGAUGGGUUGCUGCACAUCCGUGAUGCGGAGGGACCGAAGGGGACCGGAAGCGUGGAGACGAGGCUCGAAGCAAUAGAGCAACAAGUUUUUAAGUGUCAGGGGAUGUUGGAGCGUGGACUCAACUCCAACUACAUGAUGAUCGCAGAGUUCACCAACAAACACAAGCUGGAUGCCGACAACAUCGGGGAGACCAUCUUCAAGCUUCACGAGAAAAUUGAGCACCUUCAAGCUCAAAUCUAUGACCUGCAAAACCAAAACUGUGAGUAUGAAUAUAGAUUCAAAAGGAUGAGUUUGGCUACAGAUUUGAGGAUCCCGGAGACUCGGUCAUCUUUCUAUGAUGGUGAGCCUAUGCCUUGGAAGAAGGACGACAAGCCUACGCCAUCAACAAAAUCACCACCAUCUCCACCAACAAAGAAGAAUUGAGUACCUGGUAUGGGCACUCCACUUGGCAACUGCCAAGCUUGGGGGAGUGCUCCGGUAUCGUAUUACCAUCACUUUUAUCUUUACCGUUUUUCUUAGUUCGAUCCUUUUGGUAAUAUUUUGAUCUAGUAGAAUAAAAGUUCUUAGUAUGAUCUAGUCGUGAGUUUUUCUUUAUUAUCCUUCUAUGUAAUCGAGUCCGUGAGCUAUAUAAUAAAUAUUAGUGUUGAGUCAAGGGCUUGAUUAUUUUGCCAUGAUCGUAAGUGAAUAAAAGAAAAGAGAAAGAAAUAAAAAGAAACAAAGAGAUCAUAUGACUCUUAUGGAGAGUAAUGAUCUCACAUAGAAAGAGUAUGAUGAAUAAAAGUUAUUGAGGGUUGACAAACAUAGUUUUGGUCAUCGUUGCAAUUAAUAGGAAGUAAUAAAGAAAGAGAGGUCUUCACAUAUAAAUAUACUAUCUUGGACAUCUUUUAUGAUUGUGAGCACUCAUUAAAAUAUGACAUGCUAAAGAGUUGACAUUGGACAAGGAAGACAACGUAAUGGGUUGUGUUUUCUUACAUCUGAGAUAAAUUAUAUUGUCUUGGAUCCUCCAACAUGUUGAGCUUGCCUUUCUCCCUCAUGCUAGCCAAAUUCAUUGCACCAAGUAGAGAUACUACUUGUGCUUCCAAAUACCCUUAAACCAGUUUUUCCAUGAGAGUCCACUAUACCUACCUUUGGAUUGAGUAAGAUCCAUCAAGUAAGUUGUCAUCGGUGCAAGCAAUAAAAAUAUUGCUCUCUAAAUAUGUAUGAUUGAUUGGUGUGGAAGAAAUAAGCUUUAUACGAUUGUGUGAUAUGGAAGUAAUAAAAGCGACAGACUGCAUAAUAAAGGUCCAUAUCACAAGUGGCAAUAUAAAGUGAUGUUCUUUCACAAUAGGAUUUUGUGCAUCCAACCAUAAAAGCGCAUGACAACCUCUGCUUCCCUCUGCGAAGGGCCUAUCUUUUACUUUUAUCUCCUACAUUGCAUAAGAGUCAUGGUGAUCUUCACCCUUCCUUUUUACAUUUUAUCCUUUGGCAAGCACAAUAUGUUGGAAAGGUCCUGGUAUAUAUGGCUAAUUGGAUGUGGGUUUUCAUGAACUAUUACUGUUGACAUUACCCUUGAGGUAAAACGUUGGGAGGCAAAAACUAUAAGACCCUAUCUUUCUCUGUGUCUGAUUAAAACUCCAUACCCAUAAGUAUUGUGUGAGUGUCAGCAAUUGUGAAAGAUUAUAUGAUAUUUGAGUAUGUGGACUUGCUGAAAAGCUCUUAUACAUUGACUCUUUCCUAUGUUAUGAUAAAUUGCAAUUGCUUCAAUGACUGAGAUUAUAAUUUGUUAGUUUUCAAUGAAGUUUACGAUUCAUACUUGAUAUUGUGACUGAAUUAUUACUCUAGCAUAAGAAAUCAUAUGACAAGAAUUAUAUAAGUUGCUGUUCUAAGAAUGAUCAUGAUGCCCUCAUGUCCGUAUUUUAUUUUUAACGACACCUUCAUCUCUAGACAUGUGGACAUAUUUUUCGAUUUCGGCUUUUCGCUUGAGGACAAGCGAGGUCUAAGCUUGGGGGAGUUGAUACGUCCAUUUUGCAUCAUGCUUUUAUAUCAAUAUUUAUUGUAUUAUGGGCUGUUAUUACACAUUAUGUCACAAUAAUUAUGCCUAUUCUCUCUUAUUUUACAAGGUUUACAUAAAGAGGGAGAAUGCCGGCAGCUGGGAUUCUGGCUGGAAAAGGAGCAAAUAUUAGAGACCUAUUCUGCACAGCUCCAAAAGUCAUGAAACUUCACGGAUGAUGUUUUCCAAAUAUAUAAAAAAACAUUGAGCUCAAGAACUUCACCAGGGGGGCCACACCCUGCCCACGAGGGUGGGGGCGCGCUCUACCCCCUGGGCGCGCCCCCUACCUCGUGGGCCCCCUCGUGGCCCUCCGGUGACCAUCUUCUGCUAUAUGGACUCUUUCGAUGGGGAAAAAUCAUAAGCCAUCUUCUCGGACGAAACUCCACCGCCACGAGGUGGAACCUUGGCGGAACCAAUCUAGGGUUCUGGCGGGGCUGUUCUGCCGGGGAAACUUCCCUCCCGGAGGGGGAAAUCAUCACCAUUGUCGUCACCAAUGCUCCUCUCAUCGGGAGAGGGAAAUCUCCAUCAACAUCUUCAUCAGCACCAUCUCAUCUCAAAACCCUAGUUCAUCUCUUGUAUCCAAUUCUUGUCUCUAAGUCCGGGAUUAGUGCUAGUAGGUUGCUAGUAGUGUUAAUUACUCCUUGUAGUUGAUGCUAGUUGGUUUAGUUGGUGGAAGAUCAUAUGUUCAGAUCCUAUAUGCACAUUAAUACCCCUCUAAUUAUGAACAUGUUUAUGAUUUGUGAGUAGUUACUUUUGUUCUUGAGGACAUGGGAGAAGUCUUGCUAUUAGUAGUCAUGUGAAUUUGGUAUUCGUUCGAUAUUUUGAUGAGAUGUAUGUUGUCUCUCCUCUAGUGGUGUUAUGUGAACGUCGACUACAUGACACUUCACCAUUGUUUGGGCCUAGAGGAAGGCAUUGGGGAGUAAUAAGUAGAUGAUGCGUUGCUAGAGUGGCAGAAGCUUAAACCCUAGUUUAUGUGUUGCUUCGUAAGGGGCUGAUUUGGAUCCAUAUGUUUCAUGCUAUGGUUAGGUUUACCUUAAUACUUUUGUUGUAUUUGCGGAUGCUUGAAAUAGAGGUUAAUCAUAAGUGGGAUGUUUGUCCAAGUAAGGGCAGCACCCAAGCACCGGUCCAGCCACAUACCAAAUUAUCAAAGUACCGAACGCGAAUCAUAUGAGCAUUGUGGCGCCCCCGAUUCAAUCGUACACUAAUCAUACACGCAAAUGUGUACGAUCAAGAUCAGGGACUCACGGGAAGAUAUCACAACACAACUCUACAAAUAAAAUAAGUCAUACAAGCAUCAUAUUACAAGCCAGGGGCCUCGAAGGCUCGAAUACAAGAGCUCGAUCAUAGACGAGUCAGCGGAAGCAACAAUAUCUGAGUACAGACAUAAGUUAAACAAGUUUGCCUUAAGAAGGCUAGCACAAACUGGGAUACAGAUCGAAAGAGGCGCAGGCCUCCUGCAUGGGAUCCUCCUAAACUACUCCUGGUCGUCGUCAGCAGACUGCACGUAGUAGUAGGCACCUCCCGAGUAGUAGUAGUCGUCAUCGACAAUGGCGUCUGGCUCCUAGACUCCAUCGUCUGGUCGCAGCAAUGGGGUAUAGGAAGGGGUAAAAGGGGGAGCAAAGCAACCAUGAGUACGCAUCCAAAGUACUCGCAAGCAAGGAGCUACACUACAUAUGUAUGCAUUGGUAUCAAAUGGAAUAAGGGUAUCAUAUGUGGACUGAACUGCAGAAUGGUGGAAUAAGAGGGGGAUAGCUAGUCCUGUCGAAGACUAUGCUUCUGGUAACUUCCAUCUUGCAGCAGAAGAAGAGAGUAGACGGUAAGUUCACCAAGUAGCAUCGUGUAGCAUAAUCCUACCCGGCGGUCCUCUCCUCGUCGCCCUAUUAGAGGGCGACCAUCGGGUUAUAUCUUGCACUUGGAAGGGUGUGUUUUAUUAAGUAUCCGGUUCUAGUUGACAUAAGGUCAAGGUACAACUCCAAGUCGUCCUGUUACCGAAGAUCACGGCUAUUCGAAUAGAUUAACUUCCCUGCAGGGGUGCACCACAUUUCCCAACACGCUCGAUCCCCUUUGUCCGAACACACUUUUCUGGGUCAUGCCCGACCUAGGAAGAUCAACACAUCGCAGCCCUACCUAGGCACAACAGAGAGGUCAGCACGCCGGUCUAGAUCCUAUGGCGCAGGGGUCUGGGCCCAUCGCCCUUUGCACACCUGCAUGUUGCGAACGCGGCCGGAAGCAGAACUAGCCCCCUUAAUACAAGAGCAGGCUUACGGUCCAAUCCGGCGUGCGCCGCUCAGUCACUGACGUCACGAAGGAUUCGGCUGAUACCACGACGUCGAGUGCCCAUAACUGUCCCCGCGUAGAUGGUUAGUGCAUAUAGGCUAGUAGCCAGACUCAGAUCAAAUACCAAGAUCUCAUUAAGCGUUUUAUCUUGAAGUAACCGCGAACUCCGACCAGGGCCAGGCCCACCUCUCUCCUAGGUUGUCUCAACCUGCCUUGUCGCUCUGCCUCAAAGUACCAGUCUGGGGCUAUCGGGAACUCAGGCUCACCACUACGUGGAUGGAGCCACCUGCCCCUUCAGCCCCCACAUCAGAAUCACUUGCGGGUACUCAACGAGCUGACCCGACUUUAGUCACCACCUGUAUAGCAUGUAUAUAUGUAUAAGUAUAUACCCAUGAUCACCUCCCUAGUGAUCACGGCCUGAUAGUAUAGCAUGCAGACGGACAAGAAUGUAGCGCCACUGAUGAUAAACUAGCAUCCUAUACUAAGCAUUAGGAUUGUAGGUAAAGGUAACAACAGUAGUAGCAAGGACAGGCUACGCAUCGGGAUAGGAUUAACGGAAGUAGUAACAUGCUACACCACUCUAAUGCAAGCAGUAUAGAGAAGAGUAGGUGAUAUCUGGCGAUCAAGGGGGGGCUUGCCUGGUUGCUCUGGCAAGAUAGAGGGGUCGUCAACUCCGUAGUCGUAUUGGGUAGCAGCGGUGUCGGUCUCGGUGUCUAGUGAGAUAAGAGGGGGAAGAAACAAUAAAUAUAAUGCAAACAAAUGCAUGACGAUGCAUGACAUGACAAAACGUGAUGCUAGGUGUGCCCUAACGCAGUACGAGGUGGUACCGGUGUAGGGGGAAAACAUCCGGGAAAGUAUUCCCGGUGUUUCGCGUUUUCGGACAGAUGAACCGGAGGGGGAAAGUUGCGUGUUCGCUAUGCUAGGAAUGCGUGGCGGACGAACGGGCUGCGUAUCCGGGUUCGUCUCGUCGUUCUGAGAAACUUUCAUGUACAAUGUUUUUUCAUCCGUGCUACGGUUUAUUUUAUAUGAUUUUCAAAGUUUUAAGCAAUAUUCUAAAAUUUACUAAAAUUACUUUAAUUAAUAAAAAAACAAAUAGGCAGAAAUGGCUUGGUGCACCCAGUGUAGUGCACCAGGGAUGCACUGUGUGGUUGUCAGGUGGGGCCAGUCAACUACUGACUCAGCAGUUGACUGGUCAAAGGUUGAAUGGUCAACGGGUCCAAUGGGACCUGCAUGUUAGUGACUAGAACCUACAACUAACAGUUUAAUUAUUUUAAACUAGCUAAUUAGUCAGUGGGGGCCACAUGUCAUAGAGUGCAACUAAAACUAAACCUAAACAUAAAGUUAAACUAACAGAGGGGCCUUGGCUUAAGUGGGGAUUAGUCCCCUAAUCUAAGCAAUGGCCAGUCUCAAAGGCCGGGCACGCAUGCGCCCUCACAGAGGAGGGCCGACGGCCAUGGCGGGAAGCCCCGACGGUGGGGCCCCCUCCACGGCGAGCGGGGCGGUUGGCGGCAGCGGGCGGCGAGGGCGCAUCAGCGGGCUGCGGCUCGCGUGCGGGUGACACCAUAGCGCGGGCGAAACACUGCGGCCGCAGCGGGACGGCCGAGCGAUAUGGGAGCUCCGGCGAGAGCGGGCGCGCGGCGGCAAGCGCGAGUGGUGCAGGAGCGUGGGUGACCGCAGGAGCAGAGCUCCAUGUCGAAGGUGAGGUCGAGGUGGUCGGGGACGGGCUGAAGAUGAGGCAAUCGACGAUGACGGCCGGUGAAGUACGUGGUGAAAAUGAGCUCGAUGGCAAGCCUACCGGGCGGCUCCACUCGAUUAGAUGCUCAGGAUGGACGAAGUCUAUGGCGGCGGUUCUCCCAGACACGGUCUCAGGGCUUGGCGAGGCCGGUGGCCGCGACGAUGACGAUGGCCAUGGCGGAUACAGCUCAGGAAGCCUCGAACAGACGAACGGGAGUGAGAGGAGGGAAGAAACAGGGCUAGGGUUACUAGGGGAGAGAGGGGGGACUCAGGGCUUGCUCUUAUACAUCUCCUCGACCGUGGGAUGAUCGACAGCGGCGCCACCAGCGACCAUGGUGGUUGGAUGUGUGCCACGACCUCUGUCUCGUACAGGGAAAAGGGAUGACCCCAUUGGGCUGGGCCAGUGCAUAGUAGCAGUUGGGCCAAAGUGAAAGAGAAACUUUUCUUAUUUCUGUUUUGUAUUUUCUCAUAUGUUUUGCAUUUUAUUUAAAUUCAAAAGAAAUUUUUUGCACAUGAAAAUUUUCACAUAAAUACCUUGCAAUGCUUUGGGAUCUAACCACAAAGUUUAGGGGCAUUUUGUAGUGCAUACAUAAUUCUUUAUUUUGAAAAGACCAAUUUAUUUGCUGUUGGAACACUUAUUAAUUUCCUAGGGAUUUAUCUAUGAGUCAAAUGAAGUUGGUUUCCACAUGAAAAUGAUCUCGGUAAUUUAUAGAACUAUUCGAACGUUUUAGUUUUAUAGUUCGAGGAAAAAUAAUUUGACUCGUCUUUUAAAAAUUGAAUUUAAUGUCGAUUUGGAACAAAGUGAAGAUUAGCAAAAUUUAAUUAUGAUGGCGUGGCACCAUUAACAUGAGUUUACUGUAGCAUGACACCCGCAGUCUUACAAAUCUCCUCCACUACAAGAAAUCUCGUCCCGAGAUUUAAGAGAUGGAGUAAGGGGGAAGUUCUAGUUACGAAAUUCUAACGGAUCUUCUCGGUCUUAUUUGCUCUUCUCAACGAGGUCGGUCCACCACGUUGAUGUCUUCAUUCCUCUGUUUCGAGCCAUUAUGAUGAAGUCGUCAUCCUGUCUUCGGAAACUCCAUCGUACUUACGAAAGAAAAAAAGGGGGAGCAUUCCGGGAGAACGGAACUCUACAAGGUGGCUAUCUUGGUUUAUAACUCAGGGAAUGUGGUAGAAAGUAACUCUCGAACGGAAACUUAGGACAAUAUCGAGAGCAAAGUAAGUAGGUACCAUGAGAAGUUUCGAGCGGGUAGGUAAUCAUUCGAUGCCUGAAACAAAGUGUGAAAGGGGUCUAGAGCAACGAGAAUAAGUAUUGCGUUUGAUACCAGAAUGGAUCACUUGGCAGGUGGCCCGUGAAUUACAUAAGAAGUCAAGCGCGAGAAUAACUUUGACAUCAGGGUGUACAAGAGAGUCAGGUUUCGGUCCUAGGACCUAUGGGUUAUGGGCCCACCAUGUGGGUUAAAAGUAGGAAGAGAGAGGACGUCUUGCACGAUCAUGUAAGCAAGGUAUGUCAGAGGAUAGCCUAUUAGUUAUGUCGGCAACAACAUCAGUACCAAGGGCGAGGGACUAAGAGAACCAUCUUCCUGCUCGUUUGAACGAGGCGAACCAAUAGGCAAAGUUAUCGUCCGUCGGUGGUUAGUAGAAUGUCAACAACAAUAGUAACAGGGUCUUACUGACAGAGUUGUACACUGAGGUGCUUAUAAAAGCAGUGGCAUAUUACUGCUUAGAUCGUAUAAACCUCAAGAAGGUUAAACAGAACAAUGGAAAGGAAAAUGUGAUUAUCAGAUUAAACAGAACAAUGGAAAGGAAAAUGUGUUUAAACACAUAUUUCAGGGGUAUAUCCUUCCCAAGAACAAGCAGAUUAUGAUAUCCAAGACCGGAUAGAAGGUAGAAAACCACUUAAGUAAGGGGGAGGAAGCUCAUGAUAUUACCCAUACAACGGUGUUUGGAUAAUUGAGCAGGAAACAUUUAGCAUUAGCUUCAAUGUUCUUGUUGAAAAUCGGAAUACCAUAGACAUGCUUCGAGAUAGCAUUGACAUGGUCAACAGGUGAAGAUUAGACUCUGGAGACACAAAGGAUCCAUCAGGAAUAACUUGAAGAAUAGGUCUUACAAUUCCCUCAUGGAAGAAGGGAUAACCCUGCUCAAAAGGAAUCUAUAACAACAAGUCCUCCAGCCAGGUGUGAUAGGCAUGACCUCACCUUACCGAUAUAUAAGGACCAAUGUAAUAUCUCUUGGAAAUAUGUCCCAACCAUGAUAUCUGACCUAGAUUCAGAUCUGAUGGUGUCAAAAUACCUCAAACUCAGGAGGCCUAAGAAGGAAAGGUGCAACAUAAAUUCAUGAGAUGACAAUGUAAAGUUCUCGGGAAAUAAUGUAUGAAAGCAAGGCUCCGAAACAAGAGUUCAUUAUUAAACCAAGGAGAGGAUGAGGAGGUGGUUGAUGGACUCAAUGAUAAUUCAACGAGGUAUCCAAAACGAUGGAUCUCCACAAUUAUGUGGAUAAGGAGAUAGCAUUUGUCAGAUCAAAUGAUAUAAUGAAGUGUGCUCGAGGAAAACAUACACAAUUAAACAUUGGUUGAAAGGUGCGCCCGAACUAUGGGUUGGGUUGCACGACCAAUGUCAGAAUGGUGAUUCAAUAAUCAAUAGUCUAAAAAUGAACGGCCGACCAUUAACUUCAAAGCAAUAGGGUUGCUAGAAGGAAAGAAUCCAAACAACAACCGUUCACUUGUUGGAAUCAAUACGGGGACCAAGAAAGAAUGGUGAUGGUGAGAAGUAUCACUAUACCAAGAAUUCUUAAGAGGUGGAGUAAUCCUCAUGACAUUCUUGACAUAAAAGAUGGGAAUACUCCAAGGUAAAGAAGAACAAAUGUUGGAUAGCAAGGAAUUCAAGGUAUAACACAAGACACGAACAAGUUUGUGUUGGAGGGAAGGCAAUAAAGUGGUCGAUGACAACACAAAUCAUCGAGGCAAGGAUGGUAUUUAUCAUCAUGAAUUCAAUUGAUAUCCUGGAAGAGCUCUAAAUGCUGAUGAUGAUCACGACACAUUUGUUGAGAGAUUUCAUGAAGAUGUAAUCGAUCGGUGAUAACAUCAGGUUAAAGGAAUGAUGAAGCGAAAGGUUAUUCGAAACAAGGGUACGACACAAACUCGAAAUUAAGCUUGUUGUUCAAGAACAAAUGAUAUGAUGAGGAAGAUCAAUGUAAGAUUAACUCACCGUCGAAAUUUGUGCUCCGGGAAGAAGGACCCGGUAGCACAGUUAAGAGCAGCACAAUAAUGAUAUAGCCGAUCAAGCUAGGAAUGACUUGAAGGAUUAUUUAAACUCGUAAGCAAUGAAAAUUAUUUAGGGUUGUUGAAUCAGAGUGCGGACUCGAUUCACUAUACGGUGUCCCUGAGUGUCUAACAACUCAGAACCCGGGGAAAAAUUGGAACCGGUGAGAAAUAAUACUUGAAGAAGAACUCAUAAGGGGUAAUAUGGUUCUAUGAUUUUAUCGAGAUACCACGGGGUAAUACUCGAAGGUAGAACAUAAUAGAGGUUGCAGAGGUGUAUUGAGCUACAAAAGACAAGUGCUUUAACUAGUCAGAGAAAUGGAAUCAAGGAGAAAAUAUGAUUGGAACCACGUUUGCAAAGGCUCAAUUCAUAGAUACCAAAUGGUAUUAUAUCAAGGGAAUAGUUAUUAUUACAAGAAGCUUCUAUGAUAGGAUAUACAUCGUGUCCAUGGGCAUGAACACAAAGUCCAAGGUUGACUCCCACUUCUUCAAUGUAUAACCUUCCAUUCACUUCACGUCUUCAAUGAAGUUAUGGAGUUGAAAAUUUAUCUAGCAAAACACCAGUAGAUAUAACCCGCAUAAACUUCGGGUUCGCACAGACUAAAGAAGGCAUAGGUUCAACCCCUAGGGGCAUCUUAGGAACAUAUACCACGAAUUUCAAGAACAAAUAACACAAGCUCGAUAGUAGAGCAUGCUUGAGAAAGCAGAGGAUACAAUUUACCAAAGGCAUCAUGUAUCCAAGGGAAGGCUCACAAGCUUAUUGAAUAUGAAGGACAUUGUUGGAUAAAAUCGAACGAAGGGUCUGGUGGUCCACAAGGGAUCCGAUGUGAGCAUCGGUACUCAACCAGAGGAAGAAAGAAGGCCAUGAGAUCAGAUUAUAGAAACAACUAACUAACUCAAAGCUCAAAUGCAAAGGAAUUAUGAAUUCCGAGACAAGGGAUCAGAAGCAAUGCUCUGAUUAGGGAUGGAUAAGUUGAAUAGCCUUAGGGGUACAAUCGAUGGCAAUUUGAUUGGUCGAGAUCCAGCUCAUGUUUAAAAUGACGUCUGAGCCUGAAGGACGAAAUGAAGGAUCUGAUUAAGGAUUGCGAGCAUUCACAACAUAUUGAUUCAACAAACUCAAAUUGAUAAUGACUAAGGAUGCCAAUAAGAUUACCUAACUUAUGGGAUUAACCAUAAUGCAAGCAAGCAAUAAUUUCAAGAGCAAUAGGUUGCUUAGGAUUUUUGGAAGAUCGAAUGGUAUUUCAAAGACUGUUGUGAAAUACAUGAAUCAACUGGGGAUGAGCGGAUACUCGGUAAGCGCGAGAAAUUAUCCAUAGGGGUAUUCAUGUGGCAAGGAACUGCAAGGCAGUAGGCACAAAGUAUUCUCGGAACAAUAAAGAGAAUUCUCGGGUAUCUUGUAAUAACAAGAUCAACGGGGAAUGAAUGUAAGAAUGGCAAGUGUACAUAGUUAUCCAUAGGUAUUUAUCGAUGGAAAGGAAUUGCAAAGGCGAUGGCAUAAAGUCUCGAGAGAACAUCAUAGAGUAUCUUCAAAAUCUUUUGGUGCAGCAAACGAUCGUCGGUAAUAAGGUGCUCUCCGGGUGAAAGUGAUCACGAGAUCCUAAGGUUAGAUUUAGCAAAAUUCAUUUAACCCAAAUAGAAGAGAGCUCAGAGUCUCAGAGUAUAGAUGAGGAAUAAAAGAUCGUAAUACCACCCAAAUGGCGACAUGGGCCCGUAAGGCACAUAGCCAUGUUAGUAAAAAGUUUUGCAACAUCUAGACUCGACUUCGGCCAAGGAGUGUGGAAGGGGGAUUCCUACAGGCAGUCGGCUCUAAUACCAACUUGUGGCGCCCCCGAUUCAAUCGUACACUAAUCAUACACGCAAACGUGUACGAUCAAGAUCAGGGACUCACGGGAAGAUAUCACAACACAACUCUACAAAUAAAAUAAGUCAUACAAGCAUCAUAUUACAAGCCAGGGGCCUCGAAGGCUCGAAUACAAGAGCUCGAUCAUAGACGAGUCAGUGGAAGCAACAAUAUCUGAGUAUAGACAUAAGUUAAACAAGUUUGCCUUAAGAAGGCUAGCACAAACUGGGAUACAGAUCGAAAGAGGCGCAAGCCUCCUGCCUGGGAUCCUCCUAAACUACUCCUAGUCGUCGUCAGCAGACUGCACAUAGUAGUAGGCACCUCCCGAGUAGUAGUAGUCGUCAUCGACAGUGGCGUCUGGCUCCUGGACUCCAUCGUCUGGUCACAGCAAUCGGGUAUAGGAAGGGGGAAAAGGGGGAGCAAAGAAACCGUGAGUACUCAUCCAAAGUACUCGCAAGCAAGGAGCUACACUACAUACAUAUGCAUUGGUAUCAAAUGGAAUAAGGGUAUCAUAUGUGGACUGAACUGCAGAAUGGUGGAAUAAGAGGGGGAUAGCUAGUCCUGUCGAAGACUACGCUUUUGGUAACCUCCAUCUUGCAGCAGAAGAAGAGAGUAGAUGGUAAGUUCACCAAGUAGCAUCGUGUAGCAUAAUCCUACCCGGUGGUCCUCUCCUCGUCGCCCUGUUAGAGAGCGACCACCGGGUUGUAUCUGGCACUUGGAAGGGUGUGUUUUAUUAAGUAUCCGGUUCUAGUUGUCAUAAGGUCAAGGUACAACUCCAAGUCGUCCUGUUACCGAAGAUCACGACUAUUCGAAUAGAUUAACUUCCCUGCAGGGGUGCACCACAUUUCCCAACACGCUCCAUCCCCUUUGUCCGGACACACUUUUCUGGGUCAUGCCCGGCCUCGGAAGAUCAACACAUCGCAGCCCUACCUAGGCACAACAGAGAGGUCAGCACGCCGGUCUAAAUCCUAUGGCGCAGGGGUCUGGGCCCAUCGCCCUUUGCACACCUGCACGUUGCGAACGUGGCCGGAAGCAGAACUAGCCCCCUUAAUACAAGAGCAGGCUUACGGUCCAAUCCGGCGCGCGCCGCUCAGUCGCUCAUGUCACGAAGGAUUCGGCUGAUACCACGACGUCGAGUGCCCAUAACUGUCCCCGUGUAGAUGGUUAGUGCGUAUAGGCCAGUAGCCAGACUCAGAUCAAAUACCAAGAUCUCGUUAAGCGUGUUAUCUUGAAGUAACCGCGAAUGCCGACCAGGGCCAGGCCCACCUCUCUCCUAGGUGGUCUCAACCUGCCCUGUCGCUCCGCCUCGAAGUAACAGUCGGGGUCCGUCGGGAACUCAGGCCCACCACUACCUGGAUGGAGCCACCUGCCCCUUCAGCCCCCACAUCAGAAUCACUUGCGGGUACUCAACGAGCUGACCCGACUUUAGUCACCACCUGUAUAGCAUGUAUAUAUGUAUAAGUAUAUACCCAUGAUCACCUCCCUAGUGAUCACGGCCCGAUAGUAUAGCAUGGCAGACGGACAAGAAUGUAGGGCCACUGAUGAUAAACUAGCAUCCUAUACUAAGCAUUAGGAUUGCAGGUAAAGGUAACAACAGUAGUAGCAAGGACAGGUUAUGCAUCAGGAUAGGAUUAACGGAAGCAGUAACAUGCUACACUACUCUAAUGCAAGCAGUAUAGAGAAGAGUAGGCGAUAUNNNNNNNNNNNNNNNNNNNNNNNNNNNNNNNNNNNNNNNNNNNNNNNNNNNNNNNNNNNNNNNNNNNNNNNNNNNNNNNNNNNNNNNNNNNNNNNNNNNNNNNNNNNNNNNNNNNNNNNNNNNNNNNNNNNNNNNNNNNNNNNNNNNNNNNNNNNNNNNNNNNNNNNNNNNNNNNNNNNNNNNNNNNNNNNNNNNNNNNNNNNNNNNNNNNNNNNNNNNCUUGCCUGGUUGCUCUGGCAAGAUAGGGGGUCGUCAACACCGUAGUCGUACUGGGUAGCAGCGGCGUCGGUCUCGGUGUCUAGCGAGAGAAGAGGGGGAAGAAACAAUAAAUAUAAUGCAAACAAAUGCAUGACGAUGCAUGACAUGACAAAACAUGAUGCUAGGUGUGCCCUAACACGGUACGAGGUGGUACCGGUGUAGGGGGAAAACAUCCCGAAAAGUAUUCUCGGUGUUUCGCGUUUUUGGACAGAUGAACCGGAGGGGAAAGUUGUGUGUUCGCUGUGCUAGGGAUGCGUGGCGGACGAACGGGCUGCGUAUCCGGGUUCGUCUCGUUGUUCUGAGAAACUUUCAUGUACAAUGUUUUUCAUCCGAGCUAUGGUUUAUUUUAUAUGAUUUUUCAAAGUUUUAAGCAAUAUUCUAAAAUUUACUAAAAUUACUUUAAUUAAUAAAAACAAAUAGGCAGAAAUGGCUGGGUGCACCCGGUGUAGUGCACCAGGGAUGCACUGUGUGGUUGUCAGGUGGGGCCAGACAACUACUGACUCAGCAGUUGACUGGUCAAAGGUUGAAUGGUCAACGGGUCCAAUGGGACCUGCAUGUCAGUGACUAGAACCUACAACUAACAGUUUAAUUAUUUUAAACUAGCUAAUUAGUCAGUGGGGGCCACAUGUCAUAGAGUGCAACUAAAACUAAACCUAAACAUAAAAUUAAACUAACAGAGGGGCCUUGGCUUAAGUGGGGAUUAGUCCCCUAAUCUAAACAAGGGCCAGUCUCAAAGGCCGGGCACGCAUGCGUCCUCACAGAGGAGGGCCGAUGGCCAUGGCGGGAAGCCCCGUCGGUGGGGGGGCCUCCACGGCGAGCAGGGCGGUUGGCGGCAGCGGGCGGCGAGGGCGCAUCAGCGGGUUGCGGCUCGCGUGCGGGCGACACCAUAGUGCGGGCGAAACGCUGCGGCCGCAGCGGGACGGCCGAGCGAUAGGGGAGCUCCGGCGAGAGCGGGCGCGCGGCAGCAAGCGCGAGUGGUGCAGGAGCAUGGGUGACCGCGGGAGCAGAGCUCCAUGUGCGGCGUCAGGGCAGGCGCCGGAUUCGGCGGGGAGGAGGCCUGGGCAUCACCGGGCGCGCGCCGGACGAGGGCAGCACUGAUGAGCGGGCGAGGGGUGCGCGCGGCAGAGGCGGGUGGUGCGGGCGCCCAGCAGCGGGGAGCGCGGGAUGACACGGUCAGGCGUGCGUUGGGGGCGGGGCACGACAGAGAGUCACGGUGGCCCCGACUAGGAGCAGCAGUAGCAGUACGCGGGGACGCGUGCGGACGCCGAGCUCGAGCGGCCAUGGCGGAAGGAGCUCAUGGGACGACCAAUACGGGCACGGAUCAAGCUCAAGAAAAAGGGCAAAUGGAGGAGGGGCUCACCGCGAAGACGAAGGUGAGGUCAAGGUGGUCGGGGACGGGCUGAAGACGAGGCAAUCGACGAUGACGGCCGGUGAAGUAUGUGGUGAAGAUGAGCUUGAUGGCAAGCCUACCGGGCGGCUCCACUCGAUUAGAUGCUCAGGAUGGACGAAGUCUAUGGCGGCGGUUCUCCCGGACGCGGUCUCAGGGCUUGGGGAGGCCGGUGGCCGCGACGAUGACGAUGGCCAUGGCGGAUACAACUCAGGAAGCCUCGACUAGACGAACGGGAGUGAGAGGAGGGAAGAAACAGGGCUAGGGUUACUAGGGGAGAGAGGGGGGACUCAGGGCUUGCUCUUAUACAUCUCCUCGACUGUGGGAUGAUCGACAGCGGCGCCACCGGCGGCCAUGGUGGUUGGAUGUGUGCCACGACCUCUGUCUUGUACAGGGAAAAGGGAUGACCCCCAUUGGGCUGGGCCAGUGCAUAGUAGCGGUUGGGCCAAAGUGAAAGAGAGACUUUCCUUAUUUCUGAUUUGUAUUUUAUCAUAUGUUUUGCAUUUUAUUUAAAUUCAAAAGAAUUUUUUUGCACAUGAAAAUUUUCACAUAAAUAACUUGCAAUGCUUUGGGAUCUAACCACAAAGUUUAGGGGCAUUUUGUAGUGCAUACACAAUUCUUUAUUUUGAAAAGACCAAUUUAUUUGCUGUUGGAACACUUAUUAAUUUCCUAGGGAUUUAUCUGUGAGUCAAAUGAAGUUGGUUUCCACAUGAAAAUGAUCUCGGGAAUUUAUAGAACUAUUCGAACAUUUUAGUUUUAUAGUUCGAGGGAAAAUAAUUUGACUCGUCUUUUAAAAUUUGAAUUUAAGGUCGAUUUGGAACAAAGUGAAGAUUAGCAAAAUUUAAUUAUGAUGACGUGGCACCAUUAACAUGAGUUUACUAUAGCAUGACACCCGGGGUGUUACAAGCGUGAUGAAAACUAGCUUGACGAUAUUCCCAUGUGUCCUCGGGAGUGCUUUACAUCAUAUAAGAGUUUGUCUAGGCUUGUCCUUUGCUACAAAAAGGACUGGGCCACCUUGCUGCACUUUAUUUACUUUUGUUACUUGUUGCUCGUUACAAAUUAUCCUAUCACAAAACUAUAUGUUACCACUUAUUUCAGUACUUGCAGAGAAUACCUUGCUGGAAACCGCUUAUCAUUUCCUUCUGCUCCUCGUUGGGUUCGACACUCUUACUUAUCGAAAGGACUACGAUAAAUCUCCUAUACUUGUGGGUCAUCAUAUUCUAAGUCCAUAAUAAGAUGUAAUAACAACCCAACAAUAUUAAGUAAAGAAUGUCCAUAUAAGCAAUUCACAAGCGGUGACCGAGGUCACCAUGUUUGAGCAUAUGGAACAUAGUGCCGCAAAGAUGAAGACUUUGGGCACAUAGUCACGACUCCAUCAUGUUAAAGCACCAUAGUUUGAGAACCAUGAUAACUUUCAGAGUGUUUGUUCUAUUUAUGCAUUAUGUAGGGUGAGAACACUCAUGAAUUGAAUGUCUCCCCCUAAAUAUAUGACUACAUCAAGACAAGACAUUAAGUUCAUGCAUGAAUGGGUACUAGAUUUCACAUAAUAUUGUCAAGCUCCAAGAUACCAAGUUCACGCCUAAGUUGACAAAACCUUGCUUCAUCCAAUGACUUGGUGAAAAUAUCUGCAAGUUGCAUAUCUGUGCCAACAUGAGCAAUGUCAAUAUCACCCUUCUCCACAUGAUCUCUCAAGAAGUGAUAGCUAAUAUCAAUGUGCUUGGUGCGGGUAUGAUCUUUGGGGUGCUCAGCAAUAUUGAUGGCACUUUCAUUAUCACAUAGAAGAGGCACAUGUCUAUAGGUGAUACCGUAAUCCUUCAAAGUUUGCCUCAUCCAUAGUAAUUGAGUUACACAACUGGCAGUUGCAAUGUAUUCAGCUUCUGCGGUGGAGAGGGCAACACAAUUUUGUUUCUUCAAUGACGAACUUACGAACGAGCAUCCACAAAACUGACAUGCGCCGGAGGUGGACUUACGAUCCACUUUGUCGCUAGCCCAAUCUGCACCCGUGUACCCAAUGAGAUCAAACUUAGCAUCCUUGGGGUACCAUAGACCCAACUUUGGGGUGUGAACAAGGUAUCUAAGAAUAUGCUUAACUGCCUUAUGAUGGCUUUCCCUAGGGGAAGCUUGAAAUCUAGCACACAUGCAUACACUAAACAUGAUGUCUGGUCUAGAUGCACAAAGAUAAAGCAAUGAACCAAUCAUAGAGCGGUAAAUGGAUGGGUCGAAAGGAAUACCAUUUGUGUCUUCAGUGAGUAAAAUUUUGGUUGGCAUGGGUGUCUUACAUGGACUAGCAUCAGACAUGCCAAACUUCUCUAGGAUAUCCUUGAGGUAUUUGGCUUGAGACAAGAAAAUUCCUUCUUGAAAUUGUUGAAUUUGAAAUCCGAGGAAGAACUUAAAAUCCGCAUUGAGUGACAUCUCAAAAUUCAUGGUCAUGGAAGCCGCAAACUUCUUGCAUAAAUGAAUGUUAGGAGAACCAAAAAUGAUAUCAUCUACAUAGAUUUCGCAUAAGAUCAAAUCACCCUUGUCCCUCUUAGUAAAAAGAGUGGGAUCGAUCACCCCUCUCACAACACCAUCAUCGAGUAAAAACUUCUUAAGAUGAUCAUACCAAGCACGAGGUGCUUGUUUGAGGUCAUACAAAGCCUUAUGAAGUUUAUGCACAUAGUCUUUGUGAUCGGGAUCAACGAAAUCGGGUGGUUGUGAUACAUAUACUUCUUCUUGUAGAGGACCGCUAAGGAAAGCACUCUUCACAUCCAUUUGAUGUAAUGUAAAACCAUUGAAAGCAGCCUAUGCAAGUAAGAUUUGAAUGGAUUCAAGACGGGCGACGGGGGCAAAGGUCUCACCAAAGUCCAAACCUUCAACUUGUGAGUACCCUUGUGCCACUAACCUUGCCUCGUUAUGGAUGAUUACACCAUUCUCAUCUUGCUUGUUCUUGAAAAUCCAUUUUGUUCCAAUGACAUUGUGGUCGGUAGUUGGCCUCUUGACUAAUGACGACACUUGGUUGCGUUCAAAACUGUUCAACUCUUCUUGCAUAGCAACGAGCCAAUCGUUGUCCACCAAUGCAUCUUGUACCUUGAGAGGCUCAACACUAGACACAAACGAGAAGUGAGCACAAAAUUUUGUCAAAUUUUUACGAGUGACUCUACCUUCCGAUAUGCCGGUGACAAUUUUGUCAAUAUCAACAUGAUCGGCCACACGAGGCAUGAUGGAGGUAAGAGUUUCACGAGGUUCAACUUCAUGUCCAUCAUCCACAUCCUCAACAUAUGGAUCAUUAAUGUGUGGUGGAAGAUCUUCUUCUUCAUCUUGCAUUUGUUGAGGUUCAUUGUCAAUGAUUGCACUUUCUUGUUCUUGCCCUUGAGGAUGAUCUUGUUCUUGAUGAUUAUCAUGAAGAGGAACUUGAUCAUCAUCUUGUACAUGGUCUACGGGCAUUGGUUGAGCAAUAGGAGCUUGUGGUGGUAAGGGUGUUGAAGUAGUUUGAUGAUGCGUGAAGCUUCCAUCUUCUUCUUCAUCAUCAUGAGGUUCUUGUUCCAUUGGAAGAAGUGCACCAACACCCAUGGUCAAGAUAUCUUGAGAAGAAUCUUCUUCACCUACAUCACUUAGGUCAACUUGCUCCCCAUGGGAGCGAUUAAAUUCAUCAAACACCGCGUCACAAGUUUCUACAACACAUCGAUUGGAUUUUUUGUAGACUCUAUAGGCGUGAGAGUUCGAUCCAUAACCAACAAAUAUGCCCUCGAUGGUUUUGGAUUGAAAUUUUCCUAACUAUUCUCUUUUGUUGAGGAUGAAACAUUUGCACCCAAAUACACAAAAGUACUUGACAUUCGUCUUGUUCCCAGUUAGGAGCUCAUAUGGAGUCUUUCCCAAUAAGUGCGAAGGAAGAGCCGGUUUGAUGCAUGGCAUGCGGUGUUGACAGCCUCGGCCCAAAAACUAUGUGGCGACUUGUAUUCAUCCAACAAGGAAAUUGCCAGCUCCACAAGUGUGCGGUCCUUCCUUUCUGCUACACCAUUUUGUUGGGGAGUGUAUGGAGCUGAAUAUUGAUGCUCAAUCCCUUCAUCACUAAGAAACUCUUCCAAGGUGUAGUUCUUGAACUCAGAGCCAUUACCACUUCUUAUUGCCAAGAUUUCUUUGUCAAACUUGCGUUGUGCUUGCUUGGAAAAAUCAAUGAAGGUGAUCUUCGUCUCGUCCUUGGACUUGAGGAAGAAGACCCAUGUAUAUCUUGAGUAAUCAUCUACAAUGACAAGCCCAUACUUUUUCCCACCAAGACUAUCCCAUGAAGGAGGCCCAAAAAGAUCCACAUGAAGGAGCUCCAAAGGCCUUGAAGUAGACACAAUAUUCUUGGGUGGGUGCUUUGAUUGAUGUUGCUUCCCGGCUAUGCAUGCACUACACACACGAUCUUUCUCAAAAGAGACAUUGGUUAGUCCAAGGAUGUGAUUACCCUUUAAGAGAUCUUGAAGAUUUCUCAUGCCGACAUGGGCUAGCCGGCGAUGCCAUAGCCACCCCUUGUCGGCCUUGGCCAUUAGACAAGUUUCAUGGAAUGUGCUCUCUUUCGAGAAAUCAACCAUGUAAAGGUUGCCAUCCAACUCUCCAACGAAGGCCACUUUGAGAGUAUCUCUCUUAAAUACUUUCACAUCCGUUAGUCCAAAGAGUGUAUCAUAACCAACAGAAGCCAAUUGGCGAAUAGGAAGCAAAUGGUACUUAAGGGAUUGGACAAGCAUGACAUUUGCAAGAGACAUGUCAUUUGUGAUAGCCACCUUGCCCAACCCGAGUACCUGUCCUUUUGAUUCUCCACCAAACAUAAUGCUCAUAAAUGGUUGAAUAGCUUCCAUGAAAUCGUAGAGCAAUUUUCUAUCUCCAGACAUAUGAUUGGUACAUCCACUAUCAAUUAACCAUUUUACUCCACCAGAGAAGGCAACCUACACACAAUUAUGACUUGGUUAGAGGCACCCACUUUGCAAUGGGACCUCUCAAGUUAGUCACAACGGUCUUAGGGAUCCAAAUAGCAUAAAACUGGAAUGCAUUUCGAGGACCAACAAACUUUGCAUAAACUUCUCCAUCCUUAGUCUUAUGAAGUACAUAGGAUGGAGGCAUGAACUCUUUUGGCUUGUUGAGAGUGGGCAUGCCCCUUGUGGCCUUCCCACUAACAACCUUACCUUUCUCCUUGUGCCCUUCUCGUACAAAAGUUUCUUUUAGAGGGGCGGUGCACUUUUGUGAGGACGUCUUCUUCUUGCUUGUGCUUGGGUCAAACCCGAAUCCCUCUUUGGCAAACACCUCAUUGUGUUGUCUCAAUACCUCAUUAAGGUUCUUUUGCUCUUGAGCACGUGUCAUGAGACCUUUCUCGAUUUGAGCCUUGAGAAAGCGAUUCUCCUCAAGAAUAGAUGCUAGAUCACUACUAGAGUUAGAAGUACAAGCAUCAACAUUGAUAAUAGGAGAAGAAUAAGCCUUGGCUAGAGUUUCAAUAUAAGUAUGCUUGAGCAUCUCAAAACCCUUUGUAAUAAGGGUGAGCUCUUCUUCCUUAGUCUUGAGGGACAUGGGUAGGAGCUCACAAUCCUUAGAGAGAGAAGCAUUAGACUUCACAAGCUUACUUUUAUCAUUCAUCAACUCUUCGCAUGAGUCAAUAGCCUUUUUCAAGGAGGCAAGAUCUUUAGUAUGAACAUCAAUGUUUGCACCAAUUUUUGAGCAUAGUUCAUCAUUUCAUGCUUCCUCAUAUUGGACUUUCCGCUCAAGGAUUUCAUAUUUUUCCUUUUCCUCGGUGACGAGGGUUUCGAGUUCCUUAAUGGUGAUGGUGUGCUUGCUCACAAUCUCCAUAAGCAUACGAAAUAUAGUGAGCUUCUUUCCUUUGAGGGAGCACAUGAACUUAUUUAGUUUAGCAAGCAUAGGAUCAUCUAUAUCAUCAUCCUCAUAAUUAUCCUCUGCAUCAAGAUACUCAUCACUAGGAUUAGGAGGAGUGAAAAGAGGAGGGUUUGAUCGUGGGGUUACCUUGACCUUGUCAAGAGAGCUUUGGUCCUCUCCAUCUUCAACCACGGCCUUUGCCAUUAGGCACUUGUGAGUGUUUCCCUUGUAGUCCUUCAUAUAGUUGUAGGUGACAACAUCACCACUUUUGUUGACUAGCCUCAACGUGUUUUGAGAAUCUUGAGCAACUCCGGAAACACCACUAACAUCAUCUAGAUCGGAUUCUUCAUGUGCAACCAUUGCUUUACGAUCCCUUUUUUUGAGCUUGGAGUUCAAAGGAUUUGGCAACUUAUUCUUGGGAAAGGUCUUGGGAAACCUUGGUUUAUCUUCUCUCUUCUCAUAAGGGAACUCGUUGGAGAAGUGGUUGGUUUGUUCAUAGUUGUAGCAUUUUCUCACUUUCUUCUUCUGGAAUCUUCCCUUGAACUUUCCCGUUCUAAACUUCUUGAAAAAGAGAGCAAUGUCUUCAUAUGACGGGCUCUCAUCUUAGUCAACCUCAUCACCUUCCUCCUCCUCCACAUCUUCUUCUUCACUUUGCUCUUCUUCGCAUACAUGCUUUGCCUUCAAUGCAAGAUUGAUCUUUGACGUUGAGGUACCAUGCAUGGCAAGAUGUUUCAUAGCAUUUGCCUUUGACUCAUCAAAUAAUUGGAAGGUGGAUAUGAUGUCAUCCAGAGUCAUUUCCUUAAAUCCAUGGUGUUGUCUUAUGUCCCACACCAUUUGAUAUGAUAUGGAGCAAGAGCAUGAAGCAACUUAUCCAUGAGAAAUUUCUUAGUCAAGUUGAAUCCAUCUUGUGCCUUGUCACAUUCACAUGACUCGAUGUCGGCGGUGAGAGUCAUGAGAUGCUCAAGAAGUUGCUUGGGAGGUUCACCUUUCUCCAUACAAAAUUCUUGCAAUUGACCCUUGGCAAUAUCAUAUUGCGCAAGCCAGAGAGUGGAGGUACCGGUCUUGGUUCUUCACAAUGCUAUCCCAUAAUUCCUUGGCACUUGUGAUAUGUAUGUAUGGUAUCUUUUGCUUGUCAGUCAUACUUAUUAUUAUGCACAUGGUUGUUGUGUCGUUGAGAUUCUUGUCAUAUACCUCUCUCUUGGCGUAAGAUUCUUCGGGUCAACAGCUUGGUAGCCAUACUCCAAGAUCUCCAACAUCUCAUCAUCUCCAUAUCGAAGAUGGUCCUACAUAGCAACUCCCCACAAAGCAAAAUUGGUAGUUUCAUCAAGUAAAGGAGGUUUGCCUUGAGGAUUAUACUUAGGUUUCUCUAUUUGAGGUCUUGCAUAAAGCCAAGGAACACUGGAGUGUUCAUUGCUAGGAGGUUGUUGGCCAAGUGAAGGAAUAGCACAGCUCGCCUCGAGGCCACACCACCAGAAGAUGGUGCAAGCAUCGAGGUUAGUGUGGCUUUCCUCAUUUGGACCAAGGCCUCAAGAGAGGCAUCAUGCUCCUCCUUUUGCUUAGAAAGAGCCAGAUCCUCUGAAGUGAAGGACUUGGCUUCCGUGGAAGCCGCGCCCGCAUUCUUUGGAUCUGCAACAAGGAGGGUCCCAUCAGGGUUCAUCUCGCUCUUGGGCAGUUAAGCCACAAGAAUAGAGCACGAGGCUCGGAUACCAAUUGAAAGGAUCGAGAUGGACCUAGAGGGGGUGAAUAGGUACAAUUACAAAUUUUAAUUAUUACUUAGCAAUUUUAGGCAAUAAUGCAGAAUAUGGAAGUGAGCCUAACAAUUGCAAGUGUGAUGCUAAGAGCUAAGCAAGAUAAACAAGUAACACAAGUAAGCAAGCACAAUAUGAUAUAAGUAAGAGCUAAGAGGCAAGUAACCACAAGUAGAGAGUUAGGAUUAGGAAUAACUCCAACUCCGGGAGAUGAGGAUGUAUGCCGAUGUUCACUUCCUUGGAGGGAAGCUACGUCACCGUUAGAGAGGUGGAUGUUACCAUGAAGGCACACCAACGCCACAAAGGCUCGACCUAUUCUCCCUUUGACACAACACCACAGAGGCAUUUCUCAACCACUAGUGAAAGACCUUGGGGUGGUCUCCAAACCCUCACAAACUUUUCUGGGGGUAAUCACAAUGGUCGAUUCCUCUCCGAAAGACUCCUACCGCCUAGGAGUCUCCAACCUCCAAGAGUAAUAAGAACGAUGGGAAAAGCUCAAGACUUACUCAAAUCACGAAUUCCUUUGGUGCAAAGAAGGGGAAGGAGUGGAUCUAUCACUUGAUCGGACAACUUCUCUCAAAUGCUCUCAAAUCCCUUAGGGAUCUAAGAUUUGGUGUGGAGGUAGUGAGAGAGAGAGUGAAAUGUGUUCUAGGGUUUUGCUCAAAGUGAAUGGUCAACCCACUCCCAUGGGGAAGAAGGGCUAUAUAUAGUGUGAGCACAAAUAUGGCCAUUGUAGUGCAAGUGAACGGGCAGACCGGACAUCCGGUCUAGGGGCCGAACAUCCAGCCUGGCAAGCCAGUCGAAGAACAAGGUAGAAACAGAGCAAAAAACAGAGGGGCCGGACAUCUGAGGGCCAGGCCCGGACAUCCGGCAAGUCAGGAAACCCCGGACAUCCGGCACAUGGCCGGACAUCCGACAAGUUUACCAAAUAAAAAACACACUCUGGAUAGCACAAGCCGGACGUCCAGCAGGCAAGCCCGGAAAUCCGAAGUGCACUAGGAGCCCAGACAUCCGACAUAGAGGGCCGGACAUCCGGCAAGCAGCACAACACAAAAGUGCUCUCUGGAUAGCUAGGCCAGGAUAUUCGGCGACCAGGCCGGAUAUCCAGCGUGAGGCCCGGACAUUCGGCUUGAAGCCCGGACAUCCGGUAUCCUAGAGACAAAAGCAUGAAGAUGGAGCAUGUGCAUAUAUGUCCAGGAGAUUUGUGGCAAGAGCAAGCCUUUAACUAACCCUAUCGAUCCCCUCUUAAUAGUGUGGGAUCCUAUACUCAAGAAAAUGAAUAUGUAAUCAAUUUUUAUGCUUCAUCCUUGAGUAAAAUCACUUUGUAUGCUCUUGAUCCACACACUUCGAUGAACCUGGGGCUAACACCUGAGAUUUACUUGACAACCAUUGUUAGACCCCUACAUGUAUAUUUUCAUCAACAUCAAAACAUGAUGUAAGGGCAUGAUUGCUCUUUCAACUGGGGAAUUUGAUGUAGAGGUGUGUCAAUUGGAGAACUGGGGUGAAGAUUUUCCCAAUAAUCAUCAUUCUGCACAGGAGUUGUAGAGCCAAUGUCCAAAUGCUCAUCAAUUUCUUUAACGCCCGCCUCUUCUGCAGUGAACUGAGGCAUGGGCGAUGAUACCAAUGGUGUGGAAAUAACACCUUCCACUUCAAUUUAUGCAUCCAACUGCUUUGAGGAAGUAGUAGAAGGAUUGUCUUCAUCAAUGCCAUCAUCAGGGAUGACAUAUUCUUCACCAAAUAGGACUAGUUCCUUUGAUGGUACCAUUGAAAUCGGAACAACAUCAAUUGGUUCUUCACGUCAAAGUCCUCACUUUCUUGGGAGCUGAGGACUCUGCAGAGGUUGAUACUUUCCUUUUCUUUGCGGCUUUCUUCUCUGCAGCCUUAGUUUUCUUCAAUUCUCAUGCAGAAGGAAGUUCAAUUUUUUCACCGUUGUAGAUUUUGCAGGAGGAGCAGAUGAAGUUGGUGCAUUUUCUUCAGGCACGACUGAUGCAGUCGCCCUGGAAUUCUCAGUUUCUUCAGACGCAUCAAAUUCUUUAGCUGGCAUGGGUUGUUCUUCAGGUGCAACAUUGGUGGUUUCCCUAGCAUUGUCUUCAGGAUCUGGAAUUUCUUUAGUAGCACUCAUAGCUUCUUUAGCAACCUGAUUUUCAUCAGCUGCGCUUUCAUUUUCUUCAGCAAGCUGAACAUAAGCUUCAGCCUGAGGAAUUUGUUGUUGCGAUGGUGUUGCAAUGUAUGCCUUGAGGUUCUUGGCAAUCUUGACAAAUUUGACCUUGGCACCAAGCCAAUCUACAUGAUAUCGAUCAAAUUCAUCACUGAGAUAUCUGAUUUCCUUCUGAACAGUGACAAGUUCUUCAGGAGUCAGUGUAAGAAUGUUGUUCCUUAGAAAUCUCUCCUUCUUUUAUUGGUCCUUCUUGACGCGCCUAGCCUUAUCAAAUUUCCAUUUCUCUUCGCCUAUGAAGGCACUGAGCAUGUGACUUUGACUAGGAGUGAGAUUCAGGUCAGGGAGUGCAGUGUUGGGAUCUUUGUGCCAUAUGUCAAUGAAAUCUAGGACCUUCUUCGGAUCCAACAUGAGAUGCACAUCACUGCCCCUUGACUCUUGCAGCCCUUUCUAGUCUGUCUUUGAUGAUUUCAGUCGGUUCUUCAUCAUCAGCUUCAUCGUCAUUAGAUAGAACAAGGAAUGCCACUUUCUUCUUAUGAGGACUUGGCCUCUUUCCACGUCUAGCAGUGGAGUUUACUUUCAGCAAAGAUGGACCACUUGAGAAUUGUGGUUGAGCUGAGGAAGUUGCAGAUGCCCCUAAAGCAAUUGAAAGACCAGCAAUCCGCUGACACAUUGCAAGGUGCAUGGAUGUUGAGGACUUUGUGGCAGCAGCUGAGGAUUUUGUAGCAACUGAGGGGAUCGGUGAUGCCCUUGAGGAAGUUUCCUGAGGAUUUUUCCCUGAGGGCUUUGCAGUUGAGGAACUUGGCUGUGAGGGCAUUGAACUUGAAGAUUUCUUCACAACAUACUUCUUCAGGAUGGCCUUCUUUGGCGCAGUUUUACGAGAAGAGGCCUGAUGCAGCUUGAACUACGUUGGUAUUUCCCCAAAGAGGAAGGGAUGAUGCAGCACAGCUAUGGUAGGUAUUUCCCUUAGUGAUGAGAUCAAGGUUAUCGAACCAGUAGGAGAACCACGCAACACUACGUGAAUGGUACCUGCAUGCAAAAGGGAAAUUUAUUUUGAAGAUUAGAGAUGGCACAUACAAAUUUGCUUAGAACAGCAAAAGAAUACCGCAUAUAGGUAGGUAUAGUGGACUCAUAUGGCAAAACUGGUUUAAGGAUUUUGGAUGCACAAGUAGUAAUCAUACUUGGUGCAAAUGAAGGCCAACAAAAGAUUGAGAAACAUCCAACUAAGAAAUGAAAAAUCUCACAAGCGAGCAUUAAGCAUAACUAAUACCGAAUAAUGCACCACAAGUAGGAUGUAAUUUCAUUGCAUAACUAUUUACUUUCGUGCUUGCAUAGGGAAUCACAAACCUUAACAUCAAUAUUCUUACUAAAGCAUAAUUACUCAUCAACAUGACUCACAUAUUAUAUCAUCAUAUCGCAAAACUAUUGCAAGGAAUCAAGUUUACUUUGUCCAAUGAUCUUUCAUGAAAGUUUUUAUUAUAUCCGUCCUGAAUAUCUAUCACUUUGGGACUAAUUUCAUAUGUUGCUUUUAAUAACUCAAAUAAAUCUAAGUGAAGAACAUGGGCAUAAAAUUUUCUUCUCUCAAAAUAAUUUAAGUGAAUCACGAGAGAAUUUCUUAAAAAGUUUUACUAACUCUCGAAUAUAUCUAAGUGAAGCAUGAGAGCAUUUCUCCAAAAACAGUAAAGCACACCGUGCUAAAAAAGAUAUAAGUGAAGCACCAGAGCAAUUCCAUAGCUCAAAAAGGUUUAAGUGAAGCAUAGAGAGCAAUUCUAACAUGUCAUGGCAUAAUUUUGGCUCUCUCAAAUAGGUGUGUUCAGCAAGAAUACUUGACUUAAACUAAAAAGUAAAACAAUCAAAGACUCAAAUAAUACAAGACGCUCCAAGCAAAACUCAUGAUAUGUGACGAAUAAAAAUAUAGCUCCAAGUAAAAUACCGAUGGUGGUUAGAAGAAAGAGGGGAUGCCACUCGGGCAUCCCCAAGCUUAGUUGCUUGCUUCUCUUUUAUAUAAUAGCUUGGUAUGUCAUGGGGCAUCCCCAAUCUUAGGCUCUUCUUACUCCUUAUUCCUUCAUCCAUCAUGAUCUCACCCAAAACUUGAAAACUUGAAUCACACAAAACUCAACAAAACCUUCGUGAAAUUCGUUAGUAUAACAAAGCAAAUCACUACUCUAAGUACUAUUGCAAACCCAUUCAUAUUUUAUUUUUGCAUUAUAUCUACUGCAUUCCAACUUUACUAUAGCUUAUACCCUCCAAUACAAACCAUAGAUUCAUCAAAAUAAGCACACAACGCAAAGAAAUCAGAAUCUGUCAAAAACAGAAUAGUCUGUAGCAAUCUGAAAACUUCGACUACUUCUGUGACUCCAAAAAUUCUGAAAAAUUAGAAAAACAUGGGAAAUUUGUAUAUAAAUCUUGUGUACAAAAAUCAGGAUUUUAACGCGCUUUUGCUAAGAAAUAAAAUUGUUUUACUGGACGCAAAUUUUUUCAUUUUUUCAACAAGAUCAAAUCAACUAUCACCCACAUGAUCCCAAAGGUUUUGCUUGGCACAAACACUUAUUAAAACAUAAAAACACAAUACAAUCAUAAAAGUAGUAUAAUUGUUCAAACACUCAAGAACAGAAAGGAAAAGACAAAAAUAAAAUUUAUUCAUUGGGUUGCCUCCCAACAAGCGUAUCGUUAUAGCCAUUAAGAUAGGCUUUGCGAUUUCAAUGAUGCUCACAUGAAAGAUAAUAAUUGAAACUCAAAGAGAGCAUCAUAAAACAUGUGACAAACACAUUUAAGUCUAACGUACUUCCUAUGCAUAGGAAUUUUAUAGGCAAACAAAUUAUCAAGACAAGAAAUAUCUAGCAUAUGCAUAGGAGAGAAAUAAAACAAUAACAAUCUCAACAUAACGAGAGGCGAUUUAGUAACAUGAAAAUGUCAACAACCAUAUUUCCCUCUCUCAUAAUAAUUACAUGUGGGAUAAUGAUCAAAUUCAAUAAUAUAGCUAUCACAUAACAAAUUCUCUACAUGAUCCACAUGCAUGCAAAGUUGACACUCUUCCAAAAUAGUGGGAUUAUCAUCAAAUAAAGUCAUGACCUCUCCAAGCCCAUUUUUAUCAGAAAUUUCAUAAGAUUGAACACUCUCGAAAUAUGUGUAAUUGUUUUUACCUAGAGUUGACACUCUUCUGAACCCACUUUUAAUAAUAUUGCAAACAUAUUCAUCAUGAGGCUUAAAUAAACUAUCAAGAUCAUAAGAAUCAUCAUCACCCCAAUCAUGAUCAUUGCAAUAAGUAGCGGACAUAACAAAACAAGCAUUCCCAAGCUUGGGGUUUUGCAUAUCACUAACAAAAUUGACAUUAAUAGAAUUUAUAAUAAUAUCAUCAUAAUCAUGCUUUCAAGUGUGGGUGCAAUAGCAAUAAUUUCAUGUUUAACAUAAGGAACUAUAGCAAGUUCAUCUCCAUAAGCAUCAUUAAUAUUGGCAUCAUGUCCACAAGAAUAGCAAGCAUCAUGUUCAUCAAGAGGGGGUAAUUCAAUCAAAUCACUGGAAUCAUAAUGAUCCAUAUCUUCCUGCAUAUCAUUAUUUUCUUCCAAAGCAGCUGACAUUCUCUCAAUAAAUUCUUUAACAUAGGCAUUAUGAGCAUAGUUUUCAUAGCAAUAUUUAAGCAUGUCAAAAAUUUCAGAUUUUUAGAGAGUAAUAUCAUACUAUUAAAUCAAAGAAGCAACUUCAUAAGCACCCUUAAAAGCAACAAAUUCUUCAAUUUGUUCGAUAUCAUAGUAACUAUAAAUCUCCUUGGCAUAAGAAGAUAAGAUUUCAUUGUCAUUAAAAUCACAUAGAUAGGGAGGUGUUUUUUAGGGUUCUUAGAGCAACAAGUAAAAUCACAAAUUUCACAAAGAUUCCAAGCAUAGCAUAGCAAACAAUUUAUUUGAUUCCAUAAGAGAUUCCCUUUUUAAAACGAUGACGCGCAAAAUGAGCAUGCUCAUCGAAUGAUUUUCCCUCAACUAAACUAGUUGGGGUUUCAGCACGAGCACAUAUGGAUCGAAGAUGAUCUAGGUAGAAAACUUUGAGUGGAUCCAUAACAAUAGAUUUUUAGCAAGCAAAGAUGAAAGCAAAAUAGAAGGAAACAUGGAAACACAAGCAAACAUAAGAUCGAACGAGAAAAAGGCGAACAAAAAGAAGGCAAAUAAAAUGGCAUUUUUUGUGAAGUGGGGAAGAUGAAAAUGAGAGGCAAAUGGAAAAUAAUGUAAAUUGCAAGGAGAUGAGAUUUGUGAUUAGGAACCUGAUAGAUGUUGGUGAUGUCUCCCCAGCAACGGCGCCAGAAAUUCCUUUUGAUGCGGCUUGAACUACGUCGGUAUUUCCCCAAAGAGGAAGGGAUGAUGCAGCACAGCUACGGUAGGUAUUUCCCUCAGUGAUGAGACCAGGGUUAUCGAACCAGUAGGAGAACCACGCAACACUAUGUGAACGGUACCUGCACACAAAGAACAAAUACUUGCAACCCGACGUAAAAGAGGGGUUGUCAAUCCCCCCGGGUAAAAAGAUAGAUAAAAUUCUAGUAGAUUGGAUAAAUAGAUCUCGCGGGAACGCGAGAUAAAAUAAAUAACAAAAAAUUGCAGCAAGGUAUUUUUGGAUUUUUGUAUUGAUAGAUCUGAAAAUAAAAACGAAUAAAAAUAUAUCUCGAAGGCAAAUAUGAUAAAGAAGAGACCCGGGGGCCGUAGAUUUCACUAGUGGCUUUUCUGGAGAAAAAUACCAUACAGCGGGUAAACAAAUUACUGUUGGGCAAUUGAUAGAACUUCAAAUAAUUAUGACAAUAUCCAGGAAAUGAUCAUUAUAUAGGCAUCAUGUCCAAGAUUAGUAGACCGACUCCUGUGUGCAUCUACUACUAUUACUCCACACAUCGACCGCUAUCCAACAUGCAUCUAGUGUAUUUAGUGCAUGGAAAAAUGGAGUAAUGCAAUAAGAAAGAUGACAUGAUGUAGAUAAGAUCUAUUCAUGUAAGAAUAGACCCCAUCUUUUUAUCCUUAAUAGCAAUGAUACAUACGUGUCAUUUCCCCUUCUAUCACUGGGAUUGAGCACCGUAAGAUCGAACCCAUCACAAAGCACCUCUUCCCAUGGCAAGAAAAAUUGAUCUAGUUGGCCUAACUAAACCAAAGAUUUGAAGAAGAAAUACGAGGCUAUAAGUAAUCAUGCAUAUAAGAGAUCAAGAGACUCACAUUACUUUCAUGGAUAAAAACAUAGAUCUGAUCAUAAACUCAAAGUUCAUCGGAUCCCAACAAACACACCGCAAAAAGAGUUACAUCAAAUAGAUCUCCAAGAGACCAUUGUAUUGAGGAUCAAAAGAGAGAGUGGAAGCCAUCUAGCUACUAACUACGGACCCGUAGGUCUACAAUGAACUACUCACGCAUCAUCGGAGAGGCACCAAUGAGGAUGAUGAACCCCUCCGUGAUGGUGUUUAGAUUGGAUCUGUGGUUUUUGGAACUUGCGGUGGCUGGAAUUGUGUUUCGUCGACUCCCCUGUGGUUUUUGGAAUAUUGGGGUAUUUAUAGAGCAAAGAGGUGGUGCGGUAGGCCACCGAGGUGGGCACAACCCACCAGGGCGCGCAUGGCCCCCCAGGCACGCCCAGGUGGGUUGUGCCCCCCUCGGGUCACCCCUUUGGUACUUCUUUGGCCCAUCCCGUGUCUUCUGGCCCAGAAAAAUUCUCCAAAAAGUUUCACUGCGUUUGGACUCCGUUUGGUAUUGAUUUUUUGCAAAGUAAAAAACAAGCAAAAAACAGCAACUGGCACUGGGCACUAUGUCAAUUGGUUAGUCCCACGAAAAUGAUAUAAAAUUGCUAUAAAAUGAUUGUAAAACAUCCCAGAAUGAUAAUAUAGCAGCAUGGAACAAUAAAAAAUUAUAGAUACAUUGGAGACGUAUCAAGGCCUCAGCGGCAGCAACUUGAGAGUCCUCACUGAAUUUCCUCACUGCCUUUGCAGCAACUUUUUGAAGCUUUGCUUGGCGCUUGGAGCAUUCUUUUGGAAAUUCCUCACCAUGCAUGAUGUUGCUGGGAUAAGCUCAUUGGCCAGCAGGCAAAGAUGGCCUUGGACAUGGAGGGUUCAAAGCGAAUUUCUUCAUGUACCUAGGAGUAACAUAGCAGUAUUCCCUCCAUUCCUUCGCCCAUCUCCUCUCAAUCCUCUGUAUGUGCACUUUGCGCCGAUUCUUGUUUUCCUUCCCAUAAGUUUCUUCAUCGAGUGUGCAAUAUUCAUCAUAGAUGCCCUCAGGAAUCUUAAAUGUUGUGUUUGUCUCAGGCCUCUUUCCUCCCUUCUGUGGUCUCUUCCCAUCUGCCAUUUUCCUGACUUGAGGACUUUGAACUUUGGAUGUUUCUGAGGAAGUAUGCAAAUUUUCUUCAAGGAACGCUGCACAUGAGUUAAGUGGAUGAGAACCUAGUGAUUCAGCAGCAGACAUUUUGUACCCAUGAAUAAAGUAUAGGUGCGAAGAAUUUGGAGAGGUCAUAUGCAUUCUCAGAAUUUUUUCAAAAAGUAUCAAGUUGAGGAAUUUGACCGUAGGUGUAUUGAGGAAUUUCACUAAGCGUUCUUGACUCAGGCUCCAGAGUUGUACAGAUUACAAAAUCCGCACAACUGAGGAAUCUUGAAAAAAAUCAUAGCUUAGAGAAACAAAACAAGGGAAAGAAGCAUUGAGGUGUUCUAAGGACUAGAUUUGAAGAAUAAACACCUUUUGACGAUUUUGUGGAAAUCAUAAGAAUCAAAGUAGGGCAGUAAAAUUAGAUUUUAAUUACCCUUGAUGAAGAACACGGCGAACAGGGAGUGGAGAUGGAGAAGUUCGUCAGCUCAGAUCUCCCACGCCCUAACUUGGUGGCGGGAGACAGCUAUGGCGACGACAGAGUGAAGAUUAUUGUGGCCGGCGCAAGUAUGACGGUGACGAGGUCCGAGGCAGUGAAGCUCUUCCUCACCGGUGACGAUGGAGUGUAGUGGCGGCGCUAGGUCAGAGAGCUCGAGCGGGGGAAGUGAGAUCGAGCGGAGUAAAUGAAGUAUGAGGAGGGUGAGGGGUAUUUAUAGCCGAAGUGAAAAACUGAUCGCCCGAAGAUUUUGGACGAACAUGCCCCUGACCCUUGCUAUCCUAACAACAUGUGUGACCCACGUACAGAGGUGGAGAUCGUGGGGGAUCGUGGGUGAGUAGUUUAAUCCAUCGUGGGAAGCGGAACGGUUUGAGCGGCAACAGCCAAAAAUUCAGAUGUGAAUUUUUAAAGUUUCGUUCGCAAAUUCUUCAGCUGCCAAGGACACAGUGAAGACUUUGAACGGGUUUCAAAUAGAACGCACAUGAAGAAUUUAUGAACAAACUGGGUUGAGUUUAGCAUAGAGGGGGGACGGUUCUGAUCACAUUCACUUAGACGAGAAUCAACUUGAAGAAUUAACAAUAAGUGAAUGUUGUAGAGGACAUGAAAACUCAAAUCAUUCUGUUAUCCUACUUGAACUAAUGGUUUUAGGCGGUUGUACUGAUGAUUUUCAUCUCGUCGAACCGAUCGUCUUUUCGUCGGAAUGGGGCGUGUAAUGUAUCAGUGGAAAGCUCUUGACAUCUACAUUAAAAAUAUAUAGGAAUGUUAUGCAAAAUCAUCAAGGUUUAAGAGCAGUUUUGAAAAAAAAAA
rnacentral:lncRNA from 1 species